UGGAGGCCAAGGAUCGGGGAUUGUUCGAUUUCUUAAAGAAGAAGGAUGAAGACGAGAGGCCUCAAGAGGAGGUGAUCGUCACUGAGUUCGAGAAGGUUCAGGUCUCUGAACCCGAGCCCAAGAUCGAGGAGCCCCUAAGGAAGAAGAGGAGAAGAAGCAUUCUCUCUUAGAGAAGCUUCACCGAUCUGACAGCAGCUCCAGCUCCGUAAGUUCCAUUUAUAUAUUUUCUAUGUUGUAGUUAUAUUAUAAUAUUGGAAGAUUUUUUAAAUCAGCAUGACUCUGCUUGCGGUGUCACGGAAACUUUAAGUGUUCAUAGUCGCGAUCCGUAGAAUUAAUGUAUUAGCGGUUGAUCUGAGACCUUGUACGAUUAAUUGAAUGGUAAGUACGCUUCUAAUGGCUUUCCAAAUUUUGCAGUCCAGCGAUGAGGAAGAAGGUGAAGGAGAGGAGAAGAAGAAAAAAAAGAAGAAGGGUCUGAAAGAGAAGAUCAAGGAAAAGAUCUCAGGAGAAAAGGAAGAAGAGAAGAAAGAAGAGGACACCACAAUCCCUGUUGAGAAAGUUGAGGAGCCCGCUGCCCAUCCUGAAGAGAAGAAAGGAUUCCUUGAGAAGAUCAAGGAAAAACUUCCAGGCCAGCACAAGAAAUCUGAAGAGCCGGCCUCCCCUCCUCCUCCGGCAGAGAGUGCAGCCCCCGAGCCUGAGAAGAAGGGCAUCUUAGAGAAACUCAAGGAGAAGCUUCCUGGGUAUCACUCCAAGACUGAGGAAGCUGACAAGGAGAAGAAAGAGACGUCAGAUUAAGAAUUACAAGAUCUCAUGUUACUUUUUGAGUUAUGAUCGUUGUGUGGUUUAUUUAGUGUUCAAUUUUUUUUUUUUUUUUUUUCUGUUUCCUUCCUUGUGGGAUUUUCAGGUUCAUAUAUAAGCAUUAUAUACAGAGAUGCUUGAUAUACGUGCUUAUAUAUAGGCUUGUUUACUGAAUUACUAUGCAUGUUUUGGGGGAAGAAGGUCAAUCAUCCUCUGCUUCUAUGAUUCGAAAAGUGUUAUCAAGAGAUUUCUUUGCUUGUAAAUCUGAAGCUAUGAUUUCUAACUUCAUGCUUUCUUUCUUCAGCCUGCGAGUGAUUAUACUUUCUGGCCCCAUAUCGACCCUCUCUGUUGACACUCGAUUAGGGGCGAAUGUUCAUGAUUUUGAUUUAUUAACAAUAAAAUAAUUUGUGAUUUAUAUAAUCAUUACAAAAAAUAUUUAUUAUUAUAUAUUAUUAAUUAGAAUAAUAAUUUGUUUUUCAGGUCUCAAAUCAAUUUUAAAAAAGUUAGGUUCGAUUAUUUGGAUAAUAAUAUAUUCAUUUAAAAUAUCAUUAUAAACUACUUAAUUAUGAUUUUUUUAUAAUAAUAGAUUCCAUUAUAAACAUAUUACUAAAUUAUUUUAACUUAUAUAUUAUUCUAUAUUAAUUAUGAUUAUUUAAAUAAUAAUAAUUAUCGUAAUAAAAAAUUAAUAACAUAUUCUGCAUAUUCUGAUUCAAACAUAUUCUGCAAGAUUAAAUUUGAAUAUGAUUUAAUUAGAAACUUAUAUUUUAAUGAUUAAAUAUAUUCGCUAAUAACUUUAUGAGUGUGAUUAACAAAAAAUUUAAUUAAAUUAAAAUUUAAAUUGUGUAAUAGUAUCUUUUUAAUAUAAUAUAUAAUUAGGUGUGAUAAUUUUAAAAUUACGUGAAAUAAAUAAUAAUAAUAAUAAUAAAGUAAAUAUCGCAUAUACUUAAUUGGCCACUUAAGCAUAUAAUAUAUGAUUGGAUGUGAUAACUUUAAAAUUACGUAAAAUAAAUAAUAAUAAUAAAGUAAAUAUCGCAUAUGCUUGAUUGGCCGCUUAAGCAACAUAAUAACACAUGCCAAUCGAUAAAAGCACGCCUUGUCAACCUUCACAUUCGCGGAGCAAACUAAGAAUAUCUCAUCUCAUUGGCAACCCAACAAAAAUCCUUCUCAUAUUUUCUUAAAUAUUUUACACAACAAUGCAAUUUCGAUUCUCUUCACCACUAAAUACUAAGAAAUCAUUGUCUAGUAAAAUCCAACAAUGAGUAUCUACUUUUUUAAGUCUAUGAACCAACUCCAUAUAUGCUAUAUAUAUAUGUAUGUUAUAUGGGCUAGAUGAAAUGGUGUGACUAAGCAAAAAUGUGGAGAAGUGGCGUGCUUAUAGCUUUUGGGUUUAUAGUUGGUCUGAUUAUAAGAUUCACAAAUGGAGAGCACUUGAUUGGAUUGGGAAGCUAUGAUAUGACUGGUCCAGCCGCUGGGGUAAACAUGAUGGGUUAUGCCAAUAUGGAACAGGUCACCGCCGGUGUCCAUUUCCGGCUUAGAGCCAGGACUUUCAUUGUGGUCGACGGCAUCCAAGGUCCUAGAUUUGCUUUUGUUAACCUUGAUGCUGGCAUGGCUUCACAGCUUGUCACAAUUAAAGUGCUUGAGAAACUCAAAUCAAGGUACAACUACAAUACAAAUAAAUAGUCAGAACUAGCUAACUCAUCUUAUUAUUACUUGGGUUUUUUUUGAAAAAAAAAAAAAAAAUUAAUAGGCCAUGUUUAUGGAAUCUUGUAUUUGAAAAUUAAUUGAAGGUAUGGGAAUUUGUAUACUGAGAAAAAUGUGGCUAUAAGCGGCAUCCACACUCAUGCUGGUCCUGGAGGUUACUUGCAGUACUUGGUUUAUUCUAUAACCUCUCUUGGCUUUGUCAAACAAUCAUUUGAUGCAAUUGUGACGGCUAUUGAGCAGAGUAUUAUUCAGGCUCAUAACAAUCUCAAGCCCGGUUCAGUUUUCAUCAACUCAGGUAUGAUUUAAUUCCGAUAUCUAUUGGGUUUCUUCUUCGUUUUUCUGGCGCUGUCAUGUUAUAGUAAUCUGCAGGGGAUGUGGAAAAUGCGGGGAUAAACAGGAGUCCCAGUGCGUAUCUCCUUAACCCAGCAGAAGAAAGAGCGAGAUAUAAAUUCAAUGUGGAUAAAGAAAUGACCCUUUUGAAAUUUGUCGAUGGUGCAACCCAGAAGAGUAUAGGAGCUUUUAGUUGGUAUGCAACGCAUGGGACCUCCAUGAGCAGAGACAACAAGCUUAUCAGUGGAGACAAUAAGGGUGCAGCUGCUAGAUUCUUCGAGGACUGGUUUGCUUCCAUCACCAACUCUGCAUCUCCACCAGUCGGUGACGCAUCUGCUCAAGGUUAGUUAUCGAUCAGAAACAGAGUUAAUUGGGAGCUUAAUAAAAUUUUAGUCUCUACUCAUUUUAUUGUGUCUAUCACACAUGGGAAUGUUGAUAGAGAAAGCGAAAGCAAUCAAAGCAACAGGAGGACAACCGUGUGGUAAAACUACAAGCCAAAGCUUUAAGGUGAGAAAGAAUGGCGAAGGGUCAAGAUUUGUAGGAGCAUUUUGCCAAUCAAAUGUUGGAGAUGUAACACCAAAUGUGCUCGGAGCAUUUUGCACAGAUAGCGGGAAACCCUGUGAUUUUAAUCACUCUUCCUGUCAUGGCAAUGACCAGCUUUGCGUUGGCCGAGGACCUGGGUAUUUAUAGUCAUUCCACACAGAACUUUUGUCAAACACAUAACGGGUUUUGCUACGUUAAUUGGAUCAUGAUCUUUCUUUUGACAGAUACCCAGAUGAAAUAUUGAGCACAAAAAUCAUUGGGGAGAGGCAAUUUCAAAAGGCUGUUGAUUUAUUCAACUCUGCUACUAAGGAAUUGAGCGGCAAAAUCGAUUUUCGCCAUGUAUAUCUAAACUUCACCGAUAUUGAAGUGGAUAAAGAUGGAAAUACCAAAGCCAAGACUUGUCCUGCAGCUCUUGGUCCAGGUUUCGCCGCCGGGACUACUGAUGGGCCUGGUGCCUUCGGGUUUCAACAAGGCGACACAGAGGUGAAUACCAAAUUUCAUUCCUCGUAGACCCAUUUGCUUAAUUUUUUGAAAAUACUAAUACGUUUAUAUGACUUCAAGAUCAAUGAGCUAUGGAGAAAAGUGAGGGACUUGUUGAAAGAACCCAGCCAAUAUCAAGUGGACUGCCAAAAGCCCAAGACCGUUUUGCUUGACACUGGCGAAAUGUUUGUUCCUUACGCAUGGGCGGUAAGGAAUGCUACAAAAACUUCUCCAAAACAAGAUUAUCUUUUAAUUUCUAACUGAAAUCUAUGUUGAUGCAGCCAGCAGUUCUUCCAAUCCAGAUACUGAGGCUGGGAAAACUGAUCAUAUUGUGUGUCCCAGGAGGUUUUCUUUCUUUUCUCCCUUAUAAUAAAUUGAUUUCCCAUUCUGAUAAUUUCUUAUAUACAUAAAAACAAUUCAUUUUCUCAGUUCAUUAACAAAUCAAAUCCUCAAUACACAGAAGAAUGUUAAUCCAUGCAUGAUAGUAAUAUGUAACAUUAGUUGCAUGUUUUUGUGACUACCAAGCUCUAAAAGAAUGGGUUUGUUGAGACUUGCAGAGUUUACAACAAUGGCUGGUCGGAGACUGAGGGACGCAGUUAAGCAGACACUGAUCAGUAAUGGAGAAGGAGAAUUUGAUGAUGAGACUCGCGUUGUAAUAGCUGGCCUUACAAACACUUAUUCACAGUAUAUAGCCACUGUUGAAGAAUACACACAACAGAGAUACGAGGUAAUUAAAACAUGCAUCAUACUACAAUCCCCAUUAAAAACAAGAAGUUUUAAACUGUUGGUAGUUAAAAAUCACAAUAAAUUUUGCAGGCUGCUUCAACACUCUAUGGACCACAUACACUAUCUGCAUACAUUCAAGAAUUUAGUAAACUAGCAAAAGCAAUGGCACAAGGAACCACCAUUGAAACAGGCAUCUCGCCACCCGACCUUUCAUCAGUCCAACUGAGCCUCUUACCUGAACCCUCUGGAGACUCACCUCCACCGGGCAAAAAAUUUGGUGACAUCAAACAAGAUGUGAGUUCUGGUUCGUUCAAGAAAGGAGACAUAGUAAGCGCUACAUUUUGGAGCGCUAAUCCCAGAUACGAUCUGUUAACAGAAGGAACAUUUGCGGUGGUAGAGAAGCUUCAAGAUCUUCGUUGGAUUCCAGUCUAUGACGAUGAUGAUUUUGACUUAUAUUUCAAAUGGGGAUUAGAUAACGCUACAUUUUUUGGCUUAGCAACAAUUGAAUGGCAAGUGACGGAGGAGGCUACUUCUGGGCUUUAUCGUCUUAGACACUUUGGUUCAUCCAAGAAAACGAACUCCUCUCCCAUCAAAUACUUUACUGGCACAUCCAGUGCCUUCACAGUGUCAUAGUUACAUUUGGAGCUUGUUUUAUUAGGAAAAGAGUGCAAAAAUUUUCAACUUUACUUGAACAUUCAAAUCAUUAGAUAAUGUCAUAGAUGAUAUUGACAAUAAACAAACAUGAGUUAUAACUCUUUGAAAAAAGAAAAUUGUUACUGCAAUAAAAAUAACUUAUAAUAACGAAUAUUUUUAACCAUAGAUGAGAUUAGUUACUUAAGCUAAACAUAUACGGAUUCAACUGUUGUAGACGAAUGUUUAUACUGCUGGAAUCUGCAUUCACUUACGAAUUAAACUAUAAAUCUCAUAAGAUAGCCCAUUAAACCAAAGCCCCCUUUGUCUCUUCCAUAGAAAUUCAAAUGUAAUUCUAGUUCUUCUCUUUGUUUCUUCACUUAAAAGUUCAAACAGCCUCGUAUCAUUAACAGAUGUCCAUUGAAUAAAACCCAUUAAACCAAAGCCAAUAUAACAUAAAACAAAAAUACCCUUUGUCUCUUCCAAGAAUUCAAACAUAAUAUCUGAGUUUUCUCUUUGUUCUUUCAAUGGAGAUUCAGAUAGCUGCUUCUUUGUUAUUAUUCUUCGAGCUACAAAUGCGCAGGCCUCCACCAUUGAAAUAACAUCUCUUUCUUUUCUUCUUUUUUUUUUUCUAUCUUUUGCUUCGAGCUUCUUCUUAUCCUGAGCUAUGUUGAAUUCUUUAGUUUUAUGUAAUCUUGUUUAUUCUUAUUCUUUAAGAUUAUCCGCUCACAGCCAUGCCUCUUGUUGCUACGUUUUUUGUCAAUUCAACUUGACAUUUUAUUUGAAAUUUUUGGAGACUUUUCCACUUCGAGUAAAACUUUUAUAAUAUAAAACGAGAUAUCAAAAUGCAGUUCAUUCAAGAAAAGUGGUAUACCCAGUGCUACAUAUUGGAAUACUAGCUCAAUAUGUAACUUAAUACAGAAACCAUGUUUUUCAUUGUGCAUGAGCUUCAAGGCAAUCAGAUUUUAGUGGCACUGGUGAUGGCGGUUUUCACUUUUAUUUACGGAAGAGAAUAGAUAACACUAUAUUGUAUGGCUUAACAACCAUUAAAUAGUAAGUGGCUAAAGAGACUACCUUCAGGGAUUAUUGGCUUAGACAUUUUGCCUCAUUUUAGAAACCGCAAGGAUGAGUUUUUAAACAUCUUGUGUAUCCAAAAUAUCAUAGCUAUAAAGUAGACAAUUAAACGCAAGGAGCUUGUUUUAUUGCCAAUAAUAUAAAACCAUCAUUCUUUUCAAUCCAACAUUCAAAUAAAUAGUGUUCGGGCUUAUUUAUCCAUCCAAAUUACACAUCGGAUGCACUCGCCUUUAAGCAGCAAAUCAAAUGCUUUGUUGAUCUCUUCGAACUUAACCUCAUGUGUAACGAACUCAUCAAGAUGCAGUUCCUGAAAUGAUUUUCAUAAAAACUGUCAAUAGGAUUUAAUGUAUGUAUAAAAGAAAGUGAUCAAGUGAAAGAAUGUUACCUUGUUCAAGUAAUGAUUGAUAAGAACCGGAAUAUCUGAUUUCGCUUUGAUUCCUCCAUACAGACAUGCUGUUAUGGUUUUUGUGCUUUGAAGAAACUCCAUGGAGUUGAACUUCAACUCCGAGUCUGGCUUAUCCAAUCCCACCAUAAUUGUCUUUCCCCAACCCUGAUCUUCCACAAAGAUUACAUGAUAGAUUAUUAUUAGCUUACCAGAUGAAUUACAAUCAUUCUCAUACGAGUCAUGAAUUAAAUUUUCCAGGUUACACAAUAAAACUAGAGUGAUAGUCUGAGAGAGACCUUUCUAGAACUAGCAUAUGCUUCUUGCACCAACGAUGCUCUACCAACGCAUUCAAAACAGUAAUCAGCACCUCCACCGGUCAUCUCUUGGAUCACCUACGUACUCGACAAAAGAAAUGAGAAAGGUUAUUAGUGAUUUGAUUCAUGAAGGUCUAUACUAUAUGCUUUAUCACAAGUUAUUUGAAACAUUAUGUUUACUAAGACAUUUCUCAACCAUCUUGUUAUACUCUAUUCAAGAAAUAAAGAGAAAUGCAGGAGGAAUACUCACCUGGCUUACGGACUUAUCUCCACAGUCCUUUGGAUUUACAAAUUCAGUAAUACCAAACUUUUUGCCUACAUGAAAUACAAAUAUAAAAUCAACCGAAAAUAAGUAUCAUGUGUUUUUUAACGUCUGGGGGAAUAGAAAAGUAAUUUCGAGCACAUAUAUAUAUAUAUAUAUAUGUUAACUGACCAACUUCAAAUUUUUCUGGGUUCACAUCGACACCUAUUAUUUUGGUAGCACCGCAGAGUCGUCCUCCCUCAGCAACCUAAAAUACCACCAUAGAGGAAAGUAAUUUACAUAUUUUAUACACAAUAAUAUUACACAUGAAAGUACAUAAUAAGAAGUAAAACAAUUUAAAUAAUAAAGAAGAAUUGCAAGAGAAUACCGCUAGUCCAACUGCUCCUAACCCAAAUAUAGCAAUGGUUGAUCCUGCCUCCACUUUUGCUGUUUUCCAAGCAGCACCAAUCCCUGAAACACAACAUUUUAUUGGUUAUUGACUACUAGUUUAGUAGCUAGCUAAGUAAGUGUAAUGUUGACAUAUAAAUCUUUGAUAGAUUUACCUGUCGAAACUCCACAACCAAGGAGACAUGCUAAAUUUGGAGGGAUAACAGGGUCAAUCUUUGUUACAUGGGCAAUGUCUACAACAGUGUACUCGCUAAAACUCGACACAUUUGAGAAGUGAAAUAAAGGUUGUCCAUCAAGAUCUGAGAAUCUACUUGUUUCAUAUCUAGGCAUCCAAGGAGUGGUUUUGAAAGGAACACCUGAACAAAGAUUACUUUUAUCUGAUUUACAAUCCAUGCAAUUCUCACAAUUUGGUAUAAAUACUGGGAUAACAGUAUCUCCUUCCACCACUUCAUUUACAUAUUCUCCAACGCUCUCCACAAUCCUGAAACAUGAUCAAGGAAGCUUUAUUUCCAACACUUUAAGAAUUACAUAUAUAUAUAUAUAUAUAUGAGAAACCUCUGAUGAAAAAGUUAUGAGAAUUAAAAAAAGAACAUAUAAUAGAUAAUCUUUAAUUUUUACGUAAAAAAUCAUUAUUGAAAAAAUACUGCAUAACUAAACAAGACAAAGAAAUAUGAAAAUCAGAUUUUCUUCAUUAUGUAUUCGUACUUUUUUAAUGACAAAGAUAGACUUUAAUUUUUGUUAUAUAUAUAUAUAUGUGUAUAUUUAAACAUAAUGUAAACUAAACACAAAAAAGAAAAAAGGAUGUAAACGACAAUGUAACUCACCCGAUAGCUUCAUGGCCGAAGAUCGUUGGAAAGUAACUGGCCUUUAAACACAUAAUACAAGCGCAAACAAAUAUAAAUUGAUAAGUUAAUUCUUCAGUCCAGAUUAUAUAUAUAUAUAUGACUUACGUAUAUAUGUAUAGACAAACCAUAUAUGUAUAUUAGAGAAAGAGAUUUAGCGAGACCUUCAUCCUCCAAAAGCUUAUGUCACUCAAGCAAAGAGAGGUGCAAAUUAUCUUGAUCCGAACCUCGUGAGGACUAGGCGGAGCUACCAUGAUCUCCUCCAUGAUUAGAGGCGUCCCUGCUUCGCGACAUACGGCAGCUAUAGUUUGUUCAUGCAAAGUGAACAAAUAAAUCCUCUCAAAUUAAAUCAUCAAAAAGAGAAUAGGAAACUAGUAGAAUAAACUAAUGAAACUUAGAUCAUUACCUCUGCAUCGAAUUGGUUUCCCAGCGGUUUUGUUUCCAGAAUCCAUGAGGAAAGCAGAUGAAAAAACUCACUAGUACAAAGUAUGAUGAAUAUGGUUGAUGGGGGUUGGCGGUGAAAGACAAAGGAGCCAUAGUAUUUAUAAUUAAACUAAAUAUGCUUCCUCAUGAGCUACCAUAAAUGACUGCUAAUUCUAGGGUGAAUAAUGUAUUUAAUCUUGGCCUUUUGAAUUUGAAAACUUAUUGACUGCUAAUUCUAGGGUGAAUAAUGAAUAAAUGAUCAUAACUCUCUGUCAGUCCCUAGUGGAUAAAUUUACUUAGUAAUUAAUUGAUUUUCAUUUGAUGCGGUGAUUUUAGACUAUUAUAAAUUCAAUAUCAAUAAAUGAACGUAACUCAUUUGACUUUUUGAAUUCGAAAAUUUAUUAAUGGUCAAUUAAAUUUCAUUUGAUACAUUGAUUUUAGAGUAUUAUAAAUUUAAUAUCAAUAAAUGAUUGUAACUCACUGUUCUUAAAUAGAUAAUGUAGUAAUCUUUGACUUUUUGAAUUUAAAAAUUUAUUGGUGGUUAAUUGACUCUGAUUUGAUACACGAUUUUAGAGUAUUAUAAAUUUAAUAUCAAUAAAUAAUGAAACUCAUGUCAGUCCCUAAAUAGAUGAUAUAAUAAUCUUGACUUUUUGAGUUUAAAAAUUCAGUAUCAAUAAAUGAUUGUAACUCACUGUAAGUCCCUAGGUGAAUACCGUUGUAAUUUUGACUUUUUGAAUUUGAAAAUUUAUUGGUAGUUAGUUGACUCUCAUUUGAUAUAUUAAUUUUAGAGUAUUAUAAAUUCAGUCUCAAUAAAUUAACAUAACCGGCUACCUGUUCCUAUGUGGAUAAUGUAGUAAUCUUAACCUUUUGAAUUUGUAAAUUUACUGAUGGUUAGUUAACUUUUAUUUGAUACAUUAAUUUUAGAGUAUUAUAAAUUCAGUCUCAAAAAAUCAUCAUAACUGCUUACUAAUCCCCAUAUAAAUAAUAGAGUAAUUUUAACCUUAUGAAUUUAGAAAUUUAUUGUGGUUAGUUGACUCUCAUUUAGUACAUUAAUUUUAUAGUAUUAUAAAUUUUGUCUCAAUAAAUUACCAUAACUGGUUACUAGUCCUUAGGUGGAUAAUAUAGUAAUAUUGACCUUUUAAAUUUAGAAAUUUAUUAGUAGUUAAUUGACUCUCAUUUGAAACAUCGAUUUUAAAGUAUUAUAUAUUCAGUCUUAAUAAACUAAUAUAAUUGGCCGCUAGUCCCUAGGUGUAUACUGUAGUAAUCUUAACGUUUUGAAUUUGUAAAUUUAUUAGUGUUUAAUUGACUCUCAUUUGAUACUUUAAUUUUCGAGUAUUAUAAAUUCAGUCUCAAUAAAUUAUCAUAAUUGUCUGCUAGAUCAUAGGUAGAUAAUGUAAUAAUCUUUACCUUUUGAAUUUAGAAACUGAUUCUCAUUGAUACAUAANNNNNNNNNNNNNNNNNNNNNNNNNNNNNNNNNNNNNNNNNNNNNNNNNNNNNNNNNNNNNNNNNNNNNNNNNNNNNNNNNNNNNNNNNNNNNNNNNNNNNNNNNNNNNNNNNNNNNNNNNNNNNNNNNNNNNNNNNNNNUAAAUUCAGUCUCAAGAAAUUAUCAUAAUGUCUGCUAGUUCAUAGAUGGAUAAUAUAGUAAUCUUGACCUUUUGAAUUGAAAAUUUAUUAGUAUAUAGUUGACUCUCAUUGAUACAUUAAUUUAGAGUUUUAUAAAUUCAGUAUCAAUGAUUCCUAUAUGGAUAAUGUAGUAAUUUGACCUUUUGAAUUUAAAAAUUUAUUGGUGGUUAGUUGACUGUCAUUUUAUACAUUAAUUUCAGAGUAUUAUAAAUUCAGUCUCAAUAAACUAACAUAAGUGGCUGCUAGUCUGUAGAUGAAUAAUAUAAUAAUCUUAGCCUUGUAAUAUUGAGAAAUACAUCAUCUAUAUUGAGAUAUAUAUUUAAAUAUAUUUGAAAAUUUAUUGAUAGUUAGUUGGUUCUCAUUGGACACAUUAUUUAGACUAUUACAAAUUUAAUCUCAUAAGUUAUCAUAACUGUCCGCUAGUUUUCAGGUGGAUAAUAUAAUAGUCUUUAUCUUAUGAUAUCGAGAAAUAUAUCAUUUAUAUUGACUUAUAUAUUUAGAUAUAUUUAAAAAUUUAUUAGUUAUUAAUCGACUCUCAUUUGACAUAUUGAUUUUAUUCUAUUACAUAUUCAAUUUAUAAAAAGUGACAAAAUUGAUUUGUAGCUUUAAAAACCACACUAUUGCUUAGUCUAUAAAUUAAUAAACCAAAAACUCAACAUUACAUUCAACACUUCAGGAAUCUCAUUACCACUCGUGAUAAGAUGGAAAGCAUAUGAGUAUACGAAUUCAAUUAAGUCAUGAAAUAAAGUCAAAUUCUUUCUUUCUUUUUUUUCCCUUCACCUACAAAGGGAAAAAAAUGGCCUAUUACUCGUAUUUAAGUCAAUGUCUCCAAAUGAAGGUAGAUGUAAAACUCUUUAUGUAAACGAAUUGACUUAUCCCGUAAAAUGUGAAUACAUUGCUUCAAAGGGUCAUGCAAGAAUUUUCUUUCCUAUAGAUAUAUUACAUAUUGAUAUCUUAUUUUCUAUAAAGAAGAGUCCUAAUAUCAUCAAUCAUAAUCAUAUAUUAUGUACAAAAUUCUAUACGAACAAAAUUAGUGUAACCAUAUUAAUAGAAGUGUCUAACUACAUUUUUAUCUUCAAUUUAAAUUUUUUAAGGUUAACAAAGGCUUUGGUUUCUCAUAUUAGCCAAAUAAUUAGAGGAAAUUAUCCUAAUUAACAAUAAAUGUCAAAUUUAUCGAAUCCCAAAUAAAAAAUUUAAAUGAUCAAAUUAUAAUAAAAAAAAUAUUAAAUAUCAAAUUAUAAUAAAUGUCAAAUUUUAAUGAUUAAUUCAUUAAUUUACUCUAAAUUUUUUAAAUAACUUCUAAAAAAAUUGACUUUACAACAAUAAAAAUAGAGUAUCGUAUCAACUUCUUUACAAGAGAAUUAUUUUUAUUGAAUAAAAUCAUCAUCAAUUCCAUCAAAUUAAUGUAAAAACAUAAUUAUGUGAUAUAAUAAGUGUAUAAAUAAAUACCAAUAGUUAUGUUUGAGUCGGCCACUUCCCAUCAAAUUUUUCCUUCCAUAGAACACAACGAGUGCACUUUCCUUCACUAAGCAAAUCAAAGGCUUUGUUGAUAUCUUCGAAUUUCAUCUCACGUGUAAUGAAAUUUUCAAGUUCAAAUUCCUAAAAGAAUUACCAAAAAUCAUAUCAACAAAUAAUUACAUAUGUUAGAUAAUUAAUUGAAUUGAAAUCGAAGAAAUUAGUACGUAUAAAGUAGCAUCAUAAGACUAUUCUAAAACAUACGCUACAUUUAGAAUAUAAAAGAAUUUCUUAAUAUAUAUUUUUUUCUAUACUGGUAUAUAUUUAUAUAUAAAGAAGACACCAAAAUGUUUUCAAUAAAAAAAAAAAGAAACUAAAACGUUACCUUAUUCAAAUAACGAUUUAGAAGAAUGUGAAUAUCGUAUUUAACUUUGAUACCUCCAAACAAAGACCUAAUUAGUUUUUUUCCAUCCCGUAUAAGUUCGUAAAAGUUUAAGAUCAAUUGUGACCCCGAUUUAUCUACACCUACUACAAUUGUCUUUCAACAAUCUUGAAUUACAAAAAUUUUAAGAUAAUUAUUAAAAAUAUUCUUACUAUUAAUAGUUAGAAUAUUUUUAAAUCAAUUUUUAGACGUUAAGAUUAAAUUUCUUUCAAUUCUAAUAAAAUAUAUGUUAUUUAUAUUUAAACUAGAAAAUUUUCAAUAAAUAUCUCAUAUAAAUAUGUUAUUUUAUACAAACACAUAUACUAACAAGCGUAUUAUGAACAAAUCAUAUAAUACCCAAAAAUAAAUAAAUUUCAAUAAAUAUCUCAUAUAAAUAUAUUAUUUUAAGCAUAUACAUAUACUUGCAAGUUUAUCAUGAACAAAUCACAGAAUACAAGGAAAUAAACAUCAUGAUAUCACCAGCUAGUCAUCCUGUAGAAUUGAAAAUUUAUGGAUUAGCAAUUAUGUAAAGUUAGUUUCAUGCAUUUAACUGUUGCCUCAGCAUUAUACAGUGUUUUACCUUCAAAGCUUUAACUAUACAUGCUUAUAAACCUUACCAUGACAUGUAUAUGUAAGUUCGUGCCACCAAUAUGCAUAUAAAGUGCUGUAUAAAAUUUUGGGAAACGUAUGUAAUUUUCAUAUAUAAUCACAGUUAUAGCCUAAAAUAUCAUUGAAGUAAGAGUAAUAUAACACACCAGCAAAUUCAGAGAAGUAAAAAAAACCUUUUUGCAGCAAGCAUAUGCUUCGUGCACCAAGGUAAAGCAGCAGUCUGCACCACGAUCACCAGUCAUAUCCAAGAUUACCUAUUCAACCACAUUAAACAAGCUAGUUAGUUCUUUAAACUUGUUUUUACCAUUACAAAAAUUUCUAUCUUUUAUGAUGUAUAUGGAUAUAACUUUAAUAUUUAUCAUAUAAAACCUCUUUCAGUGGCUUAUCCCCACAAUCUUUAGCAUUCACAAAUUCUGUAAUCCCAAACUUUUUUCCUACAUGGUUCAGAAAUCAAACACAUCAGCGUAGAAAUCAUAAAACCCAUGUCGGCCAUUACUUCUUGAAAACAUUAACUCACCAAUUUCGUGUUUUUCUGGAUUCAUAUCAACGCCUGUAAACCUCGUAGCACCACGUAGUCGUGCUCCCUUUGCAACCUAGAAAUUACCUCUCAUAACGUAAAACUUUUUUUAUCGUAUCACAUGCAAGUGUGGAAUUUUGAAGAAAUAUAUACAUGAAUUGUUUGUAAUUGUUCAAAAAGAAAAUUUUGCUAGACAAUACCGCUAGUCCAAUUGACCCGAGCCCGAAUAUAACCACAGUUGAUCCCGCCUUCGCCUUUGCUGCUUUCCAAGCUGCACCUACCCCUAUUAUACAUAUAUAAAUUUAGUCGUAGUUUUUUGUUUACUUAAGCAGACUUUCAGAAGAUGAUAAUAUUAAAUGUCAGUACCUCUUGAAACCCCACAACUGAAAAGAUAUGCUAAGCUUGGAGGAAUUACAUCUUCACUAUCUGGGUUUUAUCUGUUACAGUAUAUUCACUAAAAACUUGAUACAUUAAGGAAGUGAAACAAAGUCUCUCCUUUGAGGUCUGUAAACCUACAAGAUUCAUAUCCAGGCAUCCAAGGAGAAAUUCUAAAUGGGAAUUUAAAGACAAACAUUGUUUUUCUUUAAUAUGCAGUUUUCACAUCCUCCACAAGCAGAUAUGAAUACUGGGAUAACAGUAUCUCCUUCAGCCACCUCAUUUACAUGGUCUCCAACACUGUCCACAACCCUACAACACAUUUAAUUCAUAGUAAAUUCAAGUACGUUGAUGUUAGACUAAUGGAGAAAUAAUAUUAAUAAUGAUAUUGAAAAUUCCAAGUUUAUUUGAGAAUACACGAUGAACAUAAGACAAGUACGAGUGCAAAAUCUUAUUAUUUUAACUAAUAAUUUAUACAUCAUUUAAUUUGUUAAGAAAAAAAUUAUAGAAGACCGACGUAGAGAGUACCAAAUUGAGGAACUUAAAAAGAGAAAACGCCUAAGGUGUUUUCUAAGACACUAAAGAACAUUAUAACAAAAUUUUAUGGUGGACCACGAUAAUGGAGGGUUCAAGGCAAAUAUCACACUUAUCAUCUCCCAUUAACACUCAUUUCUUGUCUCUAACAUUAGAUUUUUUAGUGAAGAGUUUUCUUUUUUUGAAUGUUUAAAUAUCUACUAUAAUAUAGUAAUGUUAAAGUUGCUCGCCCGAUAGCUUCGUGGCCCAGAAUUCUUGGAAAGCAAGCAGGAGGAAUCUUCAACCGGGUAUCACACAGACAAGAAGCAAACGAACAAAAGCAACUCUUUUAAGUCCAUAACAAUACACUGUACAUAAUAGAUAUAAAAUUAUUCUUUUUCAAAGAAGAAGAAAAGAGAAAGAGAUGGAAAGAGGACCGUCAACUUCCAAAAGGUAAGAUCGGUGUGGCAGAGAGCGGUGCAGAUGAUCCGAAUCCGGACCUCACGAGGACUUGGUGGAGCCACCACGAUGUCCUCUAUGACCAGAGGCUCCCUUGCUUCCCGACAAACCGCAGCUGCAUGUAGUCGGAAAGCCAAAGUUUUGACCUUUUAAAAUCAAUAAACCUACGAGGCAACAAAUUCAGACCAGACCAUACCUUUGCAUCGUAUCGGCUUCCCUGAUGUUUCCCUCGGGUCCAUGAUGAAAACCAGGUAUACCGAAGCUGUUAAUAUAUUAUGUAGAGAUGGAUUUGAUCAGCGUGAGUGGUGGAAGAUAAACAAGAUCGUCCCAGAAUCUAUAGAUGCACGGUUUCUUUUCUAGUCAGAAGAGUCUGAGUGCAUUGGGAAUCAACCAAUUAUGGGUUUUUUGUUAUUACCGAAUACUAUUUUCUUAAUUCAUACGUAUAUAUCUGUUUGUAAUAAAUGCCUUCACAUUAAUCAUCUUAAUAUAGUUGAUUAAUAAGUUGAUAUCGCGUUGUAUAGAUUACGCUACAGUUCCAGCUUUUCCCAUACCUGGACUGAACCUAGACAACCUUUGUACAAGCAGUUAAUACGGUGUAAUCUAACCAGAUAAAUGCAAAGUAAUUAAGGAAUCAGAAUACUGGCAAUGCUGCGGAUUAUUUACCCAAAUGAGCAGAUUAAAGCAUUUGUAGAAACCUAUAUUUGUUAUAAAUAUAUGAUAAUUUCUAAAAUGGUAAAUUUGGGUAAUAAAAUCAUAUAAGCACAAUUAAGGGAAGUGCAAAUGAGGAAUCGAUUCAAGAUCUUAUCAGAAAAAAGACUUCACAAGCUGAUAACACCAAGAAUAUAACACAAGCUUAGAUUCUUAAGUGUAGUUUCAUAAUUCUGCCUCCUUGACAUUUUUAAAGCUAACUUUAUAGCUCAUUCUAGCCUUCAUCAAGGUGUUAGACAUAACCGUUCAAUCAAAAAUAACACGAAUCCAAACAAAGGGUUCGAGGUAAAUCAAGCUCGAGCCAAUUAACGAUUGUGUAGGGUACCGGACCGACAACAUUCGGUCGAUAUUCUUUAGCACCUCAACUCAAGAAAAUCGUUGUAAAAAAAUAAAUAAAUAAAAGUUCUAAAAUCAAACAAAAAUGAUAUAAAAAUAUUAUGCUGCAAGAAUAAGCAUAAAUAUAUGUGAUUUAUUUUUUAAUUUUUUUUCUUAAUAUAAAUUCAUACAUUUUAUUGAAAUUAAAAAUAAUAAAUUCUCCUGAUAAGCACAAAUAAAACAUAAUAGUUUAAUAUUUAAACUCAUAUCUUUAUUAAGAUAUGUAGAAAGUAACAAAUGGUUGAUAAGAAUAAAUUUUUUAUAAUUUUUCAUCCAAAAAAAAAAAACAAAAAUUAAUUAAUAUUAUAACAAAGGCGCAACACGAAGAUCUCGUCCAAUGUGCUCAGAGAAUCUCGCUCGCUGCAGGUGGAGAAGGUGAAGGUGAAGGUUUAAAAGCAAUUGCUACGGAGACUUCUGUAAUUGCCUCCUUCUCUUUUUGUAGGUUUCCAUUAAUACUGCAGCUCGGUGUCCGAAGAUCAUCUUCAGAUUUGCUUUUGUAAGUUAACGAGCCACACAGUAGUACUCAGACUGCUUCAAAUCUUAGUUAUUAAGAAUUUACUUGAUUUUUUUCUUAAACAAGGACAAGAUAAAAUGGUUAUUUUAUUUGAAUUAACAACGUUUAUGGCAGUUGAUCCAUUUUGUAGGCAUCCUCAAGUGGGCUGAAGCAAACAAAAUCAUAAGAUUAAUUUCUCGGGGGCUCGCGGAUCGGCCCGGCCAUCACCGAUGCUUAUUUUAGUACCAUAUCCGGAUAAAUAUAAGCAGAGUAAUGUUUGACAGCUUUGCUGUUUGGUGUACCAUAUAUAUAUAUAUAUAUAUAUAUAUAUGGACCCCCUCUCCACUCCCCUCUUACGCCCUCACCUGCUUUCAGUCGUUCUUGGCUUCUAGUAAUAUUCUUCGAUUAAUCUAGAUUCAUUUCCCGUCUUCUUUCGUCAUGGAUUCCGGCAAUCUCUCAAGCAAAACCGCAGGCAAACCCAUUCGAUGUAAAGGUAAGUUCACCUUAUCCCGUCGAUUUAUCUCAAAAAUGCUCUCUCUCGUUUUUUACCUCUUGAAUCCAGAGCCAUGGAAUUUGACCAAGUUUAAUUUUCAUUUCGCCGUGAACAAACUGUAGCCGCCGUUUGUCGCAAAGCAGGGGAGCCUCUGGUCAUCGAGGAAAUCAUCGUGGCUCCGCCGAGUCCUCAUGAGGUUCGCCUCCGGAUCAUCUGCACCACUCUCUGCCACAGCGAUCUCACCUUUUGGAAACUGACGGUCUUCUCUCUCUCUUUUUAUCUCUUCAUUAUUUCUUUAUCUGUUUAUAUACGUGCAUAUAUUACAUAUACAUAUAUAUAUAUAUAGAGAGAGAGAGAGAGAGAGAAUGAGUUGUAUGAUCUGGAUUGAAGAGUUAUUAUUUUCUGCGGGAUCCAUGAUUUGCAGGUUCCUCCUGCUUACUUUCCACGAAUUCUGGGCCAUGAAGCUAUCGGGUAAAAGCCAGUCCCUUCCAUUCUUCUUUUCCGCUACAUGUGUUCUAAAUUGUUAAAACGUAUUCUCAAACAAAACUUGUUAUUAAAAAUUAUUAAUACUAUUUAAUUUACUUAAUUAUGUUCUAUAAUCAGUACUAAAUUUUAAAUAAUUAUCAUAAUUAUUUAAAUAAUAUUAAAUACUUUGUAAUUUUAUAAUCGUUGCAAUUAUUGGUAAUAUAUUUAUUUCGAUUUAAUGUGUUUAUUUAAUGAAAAUAUUAAUUUUUUUUUUUUUAAAGCAUUCCAAGUGAUACACCUUGCAAGAUAUGAACAAAGAGGGCAAGAUAUUAAUGUUAAAAUUUAUUUUCUACAACAAUCUCGUUUUCAUUAAUGGAUUUGCUGAAGAAUCCCUCCAAGAAUCGCCUGACGCCAUUAAGAUAAAGACCCAUCUUGAUUUUUUCUUUCAAUUUAAUGUAGUUCGUCUAUCCUUUUCUCUCCCUCUCUCUCUCUCUCUCUCUCUCUCUCUCUCUCUCUCUCUCUAUAUAUAUAUAUAUAUAUAUAUGACAGAUCUGUUUACAGUAUGAAAUGACAAAUUAAAUAUUAAUUAAAUUAUUAAAUAGUCCUGCAUGCCUGCAGUAUGCAUAUCUGUAGGAUUUGAAUCAAGGCAAUUGUUAUUUUUAUCUUCUUCCUGGUGGAGUUUUCUUUUGUCUCGAGCUUACUGGUAUACUCCCCAAUAGAUGUUGUAAUUAUGUUAUAAUUAGUGAUAUAAUUGUUAGUGUUAUUCUUCGUUACUUGAGGGUUAAAUAUGUUUCAGGGUUGUGGAGAGUGUGGGAGACAACGUAGAUGAAGUGGCAGAGGGAGAUACUGUCAUUCCAAUAUUCAUCUCUGAUUGUGGAGAAUGUGAAGAUUGCACGUCAAAGAAAAGUAAUCUUUGUUCUAAAUUCCCUUUUGAAGUGUCUCCUUGGAUGCCUAGAUACGACUCCACUAGGUUUACAGAUCUCGAAGGAGAUGUUUUGUUUCACUUUCUCAAUGUGUCGAGUUUUAGUGAGUAUACUGUGGUAGACAAAACUCACGUCGUAAAGAUUGAUCCCACCAUCCCUCCAAACAGAGCAUGUCUUCUUAGUUGUGGAGUUUCUACUGGUAAACCAUUAAGUUUAUCAUCUCUAAAAAUUUUAUAUAAUUUACUAGUAAGUACUGAUAAAUAAAUAUGUACAUAUACAUAUAUAUGUGUGUAAAAUUUGAGAUGAUAUAGGGGUUGGUGCGGCUCUGAGAACAGCAGAUGUUGAGGCAGGAUCAACUGUUGUUAUUUUUGGAUUAGGGUCAAUUGGAUUAGCGGUAUUGUAUCGUACUAAUUUCUUUCCAAAAAUUCAUAUUCAUCGUGAUAUAUUGAAAUGCUUUUUAUGUUGUGAGAGAGUUUUUCAGGUUGCAGAAGGAGCACGUUUAUCUGGUGCUACGAGAAUAAUAGGUGUUGAUGUAAAUCCAGAAAAAUUUGAAACUGGUGACUUGACUUCGUUUUCUCUUUGUGACUUUUUUUUUUUCUUUGUUUUUUUUUUGGUCUUGAUGAUAUCUACUGCUCAAUUUUGCUGACAUUCUUCAUCUUUCACUUCCUGCAGGAAAAAUAUUUGGGGUUACAGAAUUUAUCAAUGCUAGUGAUUGUAGAGAUAAGUCUGUGAAAGAGGUUUUUUCUCUACUGUUAUAUUGGCAUUAAAUUGUAUGUCAUUAAGUGAUUAAAAAAAAAAAAUUGUAUGAUUGAAAAGAAUUUUUGGUUUUGGUUUGUUGACUUGAGUAGGUGAUCAUGGAGAUGACUGGUGGUCAAGGUGCAGAUUAUUGCUUUGAAUGUGUUGGCUUGGCAUCUUUGGUACAUGAAGCAUUUGCUUGCUCCAGAAAGGUCUAUCUAAUGCAUUCUUUGUGUGCAUAUGGGUAUCAUAAAUAAUGCUGGAUUCAUCUAUCUUAGACAUAUUAGGAUGCGGGUUGAAUCAAUUUACACGAUGCAUGUUAUUAGAAGAUGAAUUUAUAGUCGUGUAGCACUCCCGAUCUUUUAAGAUAAGAUUGUGGAAUACAAACAACUACGAGUAACUAACGUGAAAUUAAUUUUAAUUACUUCCUUAAAAGAUAAAUUUUCUUAAGUCUAACUCGUGAUAUAAUUAGUGUUUGCGUUGUGAAAUGGGCAAUUAAAAUUCUCUUUGUGUCAUAGUUGAGAGUUAGACUAGAAACAUAAGAAAGAAUGUAAAGGGAGAAAAAAACCAAAAGAGGUAAUUGAAAUUUCUCUUAUCUUAUUUUGAUGAUUAAAGAACAAAUGAAUAACAAAUCCAACACGUGGUCUUAGGCCUUAGAGUCAAAUCUUGCUUUCAAUUCGGAAUAGAGAGAUACAAUUGUAAUUUUUUCAAAUUAACAGGUAUAAUCUUAAUUAGUCUUAAAAUUCAAAGUAGUCAAUAAAGUGUGUUUUCUCUUGUGAAAUAUUAAGAAUAAUUGUAAUAUUUGGGUGAGUUGUAAAAUUUUCAACUAUUGGAUAAUGAUAAUUGUCAUGUAAGCAUGUGGUAUAACAUGUUCAAUUUUUUUUUUCUCUGUUUAUCAUUUUUUAUUUUCUUUACAUUACUGAUCUUCUAGCUUAUUCAACUUUCUAUCCGAUUGAAUAGUUAAUAAGAUCAUCGUAUCUAUAUUUAAGUGUAUAUGUGAUGUUUUAAGUAAAAUAAUGACAGUUGUUUAUCAUAAAUUUUUAUGAUUCAGGGUUGGGGAAAGACAAUUGUAGUGGGUGUGGAUAAACCCGGGUCACAGUUAAGCUUAAGCUCUUAUGAUGUUCUUCAUUAUGGGAAAACCUUAACAGGAUCUUUAUUUGGAGGUCUUAAACCUAAAUAUGAUAUUCCUAUUCUUCUAAACCGUUAUGUAAAUAAGGUAAUUUUUUUUUUCAAUUCUUGAGUUUUUUAUUUAUUUUUGUUUUCUCUCGUUGAUAAAAUAACAUAUCUUCAUUAACUAACAAAUUUAGAUUUAUUCAGUAUACAAAGAUAUUCUAUUUUUUUCCUUUACACUACACAUAUGUUUAUACAUAAAAGUAUGUAUGUUAGUAUUUGAAGUUGACACUUAAAAAAUAAUAAAAAUAAUUUUUAAAAAAUAUAAAAAAUAAUAUUACUAAAAUUUACUAUUAUUUUUAAUUUUUUUAAAGAAUUGUCAGUUACAAAAUCGACACUGCAAUAUGUAUAUAAACUUUAAACAUUAAAAGAUUUAUUAUGUACUAAUUAUAAUAUAUAUUAUUAAUAUAGUGACAAAUUAUUUUUAAUUUAAAUUAAAUAGUGAGAGUAAUUAACUGAAUGAUACGUUGUGAUGACGAUUAUCUAUAUAAAUAUGUAUUAAUUAUAUUUUGGUGGUUAUUUUAGGAGUUACAACUUGACAAGUUCGUUACACACGAGAUGAAAUUUGAAGAUAUCAACAAAGCAUUUGAUUUGCUUAUUGAAGGAAAGUGUAUUCGAUGUGUGCUUUGGAUGGAGAAAAGUUGAUAGAACUAUUACAAUUAGCACAUGUUUAAGAGUUUGAAAUAAACCACGUGGGUUUCACAUGUUGAAUUCUCUUUCUUGUUAUAAUUGACGACUUAAAAUAAUAUGAUAAAUAUCUUAUUUGCCACAUUUGGGGUACAAAAAUUAUCAUCAUAAUAUUUUCUUUAUUCAUUUUAAUUAAGUAUACAAAUUUUUUUUUGUGUGUAUUAUUAUCGAGUGAUAAAAUUAUAUAUAGCAAUUAAAAAUGCUUAUAUGUAAUUUUAGAUAAUCAUUGCACGAAUGGUUAAUAUUGAAAGUGAAUAUGAAGAUCAAGUUGAUACUGGUUACUAAAAGUUAUUUGAUGAGUAGAAAUAACUUAUCAGACUUCAAAAUUAAAUAUAUACUGUAAAUAUAAAAUGAAACUAAUCGAAUGUAAAUUUAUAUAAUCUUUACAUAUUUAGUAUCGACGUACGUGAAAUAAUAAGUAUUUGAAAAUUUAUAAAUAUUGAACUAUAGCAAUUAAAUAGAAAAAGUGUCGAAAAGAAAAAAAAAAAAAAGUAAAAUUAGGAAAAAGGUUAAGAUGAUUAUGAAAAAGGAAACUUAUAUUGUAAUAAUAUAAUCAAAGAUCCUAAAAUAAUAAUUUUUGAUUAAUUUCACAUUAUUGCAUUAUACAGUUAGUUUACCUAAACGUACACAUUCUACUUUGACUUACUUUCUUACAUAAUUUUUUAUAAUUUUACUUUCAACGACUAGUUUAAUCAAAUAAAAAAUUAUAAUUUUUAAAAUAACAAUUUUUAUACAGCUAUUUCUAUUAAACACGUAAUAAUUUUUUAUUAAAAGUGAUUUUACUUAAUAAUUAUUUUAUCAACACUUUUAUAACUCACAAUUAAAUAUAAAAUUAUGCUAAACACACCUUAAGUUAUAUAAGGAUAUUAAAGUAAUUAAAUCUUAAUCAUUACAAAAUACUAUAUAUGGAGUUAUUAUCUUUAAAAGAAGAGGUUAAAAAUUUGAGUCAGAAAUUAAGUGAACUCUGUCAAAAUAGAUAUUUAUUUGUCUUGUAUAAAAAAAAAAUAAUUAGUAAACAAACAACGAUCAUUCUAAAUAUUCGAAAAAUAUUUCAAUCAUCUAAAAUUAUAACUCAUAUUUAAAAUGAUUCAUAUAUCUCGUGUUGUAAUUUAUAUAUAGUUUAAAAAUAUUAUAAAAUUAAUAAUUAUUUAUUGAUUGAUGGAAUACUAUAAGUGAUAUAUGUUUAUUACUAUCGAUUAAUAGAAUAAUUAUCAUUAACUUUAAAAUAUUUUAAAGUUUUACUUUUUUAAUUUUACGUCAAGUUAUAAUUUAAAUUUUUGUAAUUCAUUCGUGGAUAAGUGAAACACAAAUUUUAUAGUUGUAGAAUCGAAUGCAAAAGUGAAGUUAGUUUAUUUAUAUAUUAAUGUAAAUGUUAUAAUUAAUUUUUUUCAUAUCAAAUAAUUAAAAUUGAAAAUUUAAUGAGAAUUAAAUGAGUUGGGACCAAAUAUAAAGAAGGGAGAAGCACGACUUAGCGUCAAAACGACGUCGCUGCAGGGAUUUCCUUCCUGCGAAAAUAAAAAGAAGGGAAAAGCACGACUGGGCGUCAAAACGACGUCGCUGCAGGGAUAUGAAAAGAAGGGAGAAGCACGACUUAGCGUCAAAACGACGUCGCUGCAGGGAUAUGAAAAGAAGGGAGAAGCACGACUUAGCGUCAAAACGACGUCGCUGCAGAGAUAUGAAAAGAAGGGAGAAGCACGACUUAGCGUCAAAACGAUGCCGCUGCAGGGAUUUCCUUCCUGAGCAAAUAACGCAAGGCAUACUGCAUCUAGAUUCUUCUCCGGCAUUGUAGAAUACAUAUCACAAAACAGCUACUUGAUCCGCUCGAACCCUGCGCGAAUCCAAGCAGACCUAUUUACACGCUCCGUACACUCUUUUUCCAUAUAUUUUCUUUACCAUUUUUCACUGUGCAGCGAUCAAAUCGAAGGUCGAAGCCGCUCUGUGCCUUAAAUCUUCUCUCUGCGAUUCCAGGUUUUUGCACCGGAAGCUUUCGUUUCUUUUGUAUUUUCCAUUUAACUGGUUAUCAAUCAUGCCUAAAAGCCCAAAUGAAACUUGUUUUCCUUUUCUUUUUGUUGAUCAGUAUCGUGUAUCUGAAUUUGUUACCCUUUGACUAAGAGUUGUCAAUCUUGAUUCUGGACCUUGUUUGAUUAUUUAAGCCUUCUAAUCGGAGGAUAAAUCUGUUUUUUUUUUCUCAUGAAUAGAAGAUCAGUAUUGGGUAUUAUUUUAUUAGGGUGCGUGUUAGUGUUUUCCCUGAUUAGCAGCCGUUUGGUUCCCUUUGAAGUUGUUGGGAUGGGCGUUAGUGUCCAUUUCUACAUUUGAUUUUGUACAUUACAUGUGGUGAUUUGGCGCUCACAUUUUUUGGUUUUGUUUAUAUAUGCACUUUUGGGGAAAAAGAAGAAAGGAAAUCCCCAAGAUCAGGGGCUCUCUGAACAAUGAAUAACAUUUGAACAGGAGAUUUGGCUGUGGGGAUAGAGGCAUUUGUUCAAUCAAACUAGAAGCAGUCUGCAACCUUAGUUACUUUCGUGAAAAUGGUACUUGUGGGGAUGUCUUUUGAGGAAAAUGAAAGUUUUAAUGCUGAUGUAUUGGCUUUCAGCUGAUUCCAUGUUUUGAUAAUAUAAUGCAAGAUUAUUUCUUUCUGGAAUCAUGGUUUUCUUUUGGGGGGACCGGUUUGGGGGGAAAGAGAAUGAGAAGAGAGGGGGGGGGGGGGGGGGUUUGGAUGCAUACUGUUUAAAGUGGGUAAGACAAGCUACAUGUAGUAGAAUGAUAAUUUGAUGGUUUAAAUCAUAAGAUUUACAAUCUUUACAGCCUCUCUUAUUUGGCUGUAGUUUGACCUUGUUUGUUCAUGAAAAAGUUUUGACUUUCCUUCAGAAAAAUUGCUCUUACAUUUGAUAGGUAAAUAAAUUUUCAGGUGGAAGCAUUGCAUUAUUUAAACACCAUUUUUCAUUUUCUCCAAUCUUUAUCUAAAUGGAAUUUUGUCUGGUCAUAUAGCUUAUGUUAUAUGUAAAACAUGUGUUCAAAUUGAAAAUGAAAAUAGUGUUAAAAAAAUCAUGAUAAAAAUGUAGAAAGAGUUUGAAAAGAACCCAAAGAUUUUGAUCCUUUCCGAAAAUUCUUUUUAUUUAUACUUGAAUACUACUUACACUCACCAGUAUAUGUUUUUAUUAUGGAUGUAUAUGUGUUUGGAGAAUAAAAAAGAGAAAAUAAUUUCAUAUACCAAAAAAGCCUGUUAGUAACUGGAAUAUUUCUUAUCUCAUAUACAAGCAUAUGGAAGUAACUUUUAAUUCAAAUUAGAUAUAUGGUGUUUACCCCCCUUUUGUCCUAACAUACUCGUUGCUAACAUAUGUAUCUGAGCAGUUUCUAUUACUUUGAUCUUGUUCUUUGUUUCUAGGUUUUGGUGUCAUUAAAACAUCAUGGGGGACACGUGCCAUGAUGAAGGUUCUAGCAGCUGCAAUCGUUCUGGAGAGAGUUCCAAUUCAGUUGUUGAGCUCAAUAUCAAGACUCUGGAUUCACAGAUUUAUAGCUUUCAAGUAGAAAAAAAUGUAAGCAGUAAUAUUCUGUAAUAAUAUUUGUUAUUUGCUUUUGGUCACUCUAUUAAUCCAUUUCCUUGUUCAUUUAUUUUUUUUAUUCACUGAUAUUUGCAUUUCAUUUAUAUGUCAUUGUUGAUUUAUGUGGUAACAAUGAGAGAUCAGCAAUGGUGGAUUCAACAAAUUGUUUUAAGCUGAGCCAUUGGUGCAGUUUCAUGUGGAAUUUAAAAAAAAUCUCUACUGUUUUGGCUGAAAAUUGUGCUAACCUGAUUAUAUCUGAUAUUUUUUGGUAUUCAAAAUAAUUGCAGAUUCCAGUUUCAUUGUUCAAGGAGAAAAUAGCCAGCAAAAUUGGCAUCCCAGUCAGUCAACAGCGGCUGAUUUUCCGCGGAAAGGUCUUAAAGGAUGAUCAGCCACUUUCUGAAUACCGUAUCCUAUCUUUCUACUAAUUAGGACUUUAGUGAUUUUGCAUUUUGUUUAUCUGUACUAGUUACUGUUUAGAAACGGUAAUCUAAAUGUUACUAUUUGUGUUUUGCACUAAAGAAUGUGAUAUUGGUUAGAGAAAACAUAUAAUAUGGCAUAAUAUCGGUGAUCUAUGGCUAUUAUCUGAAACAUAGUAUUGGCUGUAAGAGUGUCACAUACUUGAAACUCUUCAGUUUGUCAUUCCCCAGACAUCUAUUUGCAGUUUGAUAUGCAUUUAUUCAUGCAGGCAAACUUGGUUGGCCCAUGAAAAUUUAAAAGAAAACACAAGGCAUGGUAGGACCCAUUGACAUGACUCCUUUGCAAGUUUUGCUGUGAAGAAUUUUGUAGUAUCAGUAAAUAGCUCUUAUCUAAAAGAGUGUGUUACUUAUACCUGUCCCAUAUUAGUAAAUUGAAUAUUAAAUCUUAAAUAUUUGAAUCAUUGGCUGGACUGAAUUGGCUGCCUUAAUCUGGUUUCUUUUGGUGGAUAUGCAGCUCAUUCCAUAGAAAAUGACCUAGUUAUUUUUCUCUUGUCCAUUUCUUGUUUCGUGGUGACUUGUCAUAUGUCCUGUUUCUAUAUUUUAUUUUUAUGCCGCAAAACUCUUAACCAUCUAUAGAUGUGGAGAGUGGGCAUACAUUGCAUUUAGUUGAGAGGCAGCCAAGUCAAUCGCAGCCUUCACCCAACACAGGCUCUGGAGAAAAUGGGAGUAACGGCAAUCGAGGUUGGUUCUUAAUAUAGAUUGCCUAUGUAGUGUUUCAAGUUCUGAACAUAUUUUGAGAAGUAACAUUUAUUACUCCUAAAGGGACCAAGUAUUGAUUUUUUUAAAAAAAAUUAGCAGGAAAUGAUAAUGCUACUGGUGCUGUUCGUAAUCGUGUUGGGCAAAUUUCACACAGCGUUGUUCUCGGCACAUUUAAUGUUGGGGACCAAGGUGAAGGAAUUGUUCCAGAUGUUACAAGGGUGGGUCAUUCACUCUUUAUGUCAUGGUUCUCGUGAGCUUUAUCUUUUGUACUAUUUUUGGUUCUAAUUCUGCUUGUGGAUGAUGAUGGAAACUGAAAAAAUGUAUGUAAUGUAAAAUUCUUCAUGUUUUGCAUGCAUGGCUUGCACAGGUUAUUGGGGCUGUUUUAAAUUCUUUUGGAAUUGGCGCCCAACCAACCACAAAUAUUACCCAAGCCCCAUCUUUGGUAAGUGUUUCUCUUUUUUUCUUCCUCUUGUAUUUUUUUCGUCCUCAAUGUUCACAUAGCAGAACAUUUGAUUUUAUAUGCUGUGUGAAUUUAUUGUAAGGGUCUUCUUAUGCAAGUCUAUACUUCAGUGUAGGAUCAAUAAAAGAUAAUCUGAUUACUUAAGGAUUUAGGAUAUACCUAGAAGCUAUGCCUAAUAAUUUUUUGGAUAUCUCAAAUAAGAAAGGAAUUCGCAUUUGAUUGCAUCACACAACUAUUAAAUUUUUUUAGCAAACUUAUAAAUCAUUAUUCCCGAAUGUCGGAUCUCAAAGGUGAGAUAGCUUCUUAUAAUAUUCUCUCUCUCUCUCUCUCUCUUACNNNNNNNNNNNNNNNNNNNNNNNNNNNNNNNNNNNNNNNNNNNNNNNNNNNNNNNUCACAUGUCACAGUAAAGGUGACAUCAAAGGUAGGGGGAUGUUCACUCUCCGGUCCAAAAGGAAAUGAGAACACAUAUCUAUGGAUUUUGUAGUGGUUACCAAGGACACGAUCAAAUCAUGAUACUAUCUGGUUGUGGUAGACCGUUGACCAAAAUCUGCUCACUUUUUGGCAACAAGGAGCUCGGACUAUGUGGACAAGUUAGGCAGGCUUUACGUGAAGGAAGUGCUCCGCAUACAUGGAAUUCUUGUAUCCAUCGUAUCUAACAGAGACCUUAGAUUACCUCCAGAUUAUGAGGAAGCUUUCAGCAGGCAAUCGGCACAAACCUGAAUUUUAGUAUAGCCUUUCACCCACAAAUAGAUGGAUAGAGAGAAAGAACUAUUCAGACACUAGAAGAUAUGCUACGAAUUUGUGUACUUGAUUUCGGUGGAAAUUGGGAUGAAUUAUUGCUUCUGAUGGAAUUCUCAUAUAACAAUAGUUAUCACGCCAGCAUAGGCAUGGUCCCAUAUGAAGCCCUUUGCGGGAGAUCUUGCAAAUCGCCAAUAUACUUGGAGGAGGUUGGAGAAAGGAGACUAAUCGGAUUGGAACUAGUGGAAAAGACCACCACAAAGGUAACUAUAAUCGAGAAAAAUCUCCAGACAACACAAUGCAAACAGAAAAACUAUGCAGAUAACAGAAGAAGAGAUCUAAGAUUUGAAACCGGGGAUCAUGUAUUCCUCAAGAUGUCCCCAAUGAAAGGUUUAUUGAGGUUUGAGAAGAAAGAGAAGUUGGGCCCUCGGUUUAUAGGGCCCUUCGAGGUAUUGACAAGGGUGGGCGUAGCAGCCUACAGGCUAGCACUGCCGCCAGAGUACUCAAGCAUACACAAUGUUUUUCAUGUAUCGAUGUUACGCAGAUACCACCCGGAUCUGUCCCACAUCAUACAACAUGAGACACUAUCCCUAUAGAAGGACACGACGUACGAAGAAAGACCAGUUUGUAUACUCGAAAGACAGGAGAAGAUGCUGAGAAAUCGAACCAUACCCAUGGUGAAAGUCUUAUGGCAACAUCACCCCAAAGAAGGGGCAACUUGGGAACGAGAAGAUAUGAUGAAGAUGAACCACCCUCAACUGUUUGAACAAAUAUGAUAAUGUACCAAAUUUGGGGACAAAUUUUCUUUUAGGGGAAUAUGUUGUAACGAGGGGAAAAAUCUUAUAACCCUGGGAUUCAAGGUAGUGUAUUAGGAAUUUAUAAAUUGAGAAAAAUAUAAAUACAUAUAUAUAGAUGAAAAAAAGAAGAAUUAUUCAUUGUUCAUAUAUGCCCACUGAAUUAAUAAACUCUUAUGUGAGGGAAAUGAACGAAAAAGCCAGUGCAAAUAUGGGCAAAAAUGCAAAUUUCAGGAUUUUGCACAGGUCAGCCAAAGAAAGGUAAAAUGGACCAAUCACUGGCAGACCAGUGUACAGGCUACGUCAGAGCCUGCAAUUUUAGGCAGGAAUGGUCCAGAUUUUGCCAUAUGGACCUGAGGUGGCGCAAGGAACGGUUCUAGAGAGGAAAAUGAGAUAGACGGCCCAAAUUGAGUGUAACAUUCCAAGGCACUGAUCAUUUUUCCCUUCACCAUAAAAGGGGGGCAUUGAGUUGCAGAGAAAGGAAGAAAAAAAUUGGGAACUCGCCUGGUGAAAACAAAGGGGGAUUUACAAACGGUUCAAGCUGCAGGAGAGCCAGCUUGGGAAGAAAAAGUUGAUCGACUCAACGCCGUCGCUGCGAACAAGGGUAAGUUCCAUUUGUUUUUCACAUCUUGAAAUAGAAAUUUAAAUACUAAAUUUCUUUGAAAAUAGAAAUGAUUAUGGUGUUGUUGAAAGAGAUUUUAGGUAGAUUUGGAUGAGGGAAUCUAUCAAGGGAGUUAAAGGCAUCAUCGGAGGUGAAAUCCUGGAAAGAUAUGGAGAGGGGAGAUCUAUCCAGGAAAAUCGAAGGAGUAAUGGGAUGAGGUAAGAAAAAGAGAAUUGAGGGGAGUUGUUUAGAGUGAGGAGGAGGAACAAAUGAGAGAAAGGGAUCAGCGGACAAGGAAGAAAAUAGAGGGACACCUGCAGUGAGAGUGCUACCUAUUAUUAUUCUGGAUAUAUAAAUAUAUAUAUACUCACAUUUCUGUAUUUAGCGAUAAAUGUUUCUCUUAAGUGUUUGGUGUGCUCUCGUGACGGAAGGAAGUAUAUAUAAAUUGGCCCAGUUACUGUAUCGAGGGGCCCCGAGGGUGUAUUUUGGCAUUAAGAUACCGUUUGGGAAUGGUCUGAAUAUACAUAUAUAUUGGUGUUACUGUUCUGUGAUGCUGAGAAGAAAAGCGAAUAGAGUUCUGCUGUGGCCCAGUUAUUGGGUCGAAGGGUUGAUGGGGAACUGAUUGUGUUCCGUGAUGAGCUUCUAUGUGAGGCAUAAAUUGUUUAGCUGUGGCCCUUUUAAGGGUGCCCCGGAAUUUGUUUACAUAUUUUAUUUUUGUUCAGAUAUAUAUGUAUAUAUAUAUAUUGACUUGCUGUAAGCAAUGGAGGUGCAAGCAUUCGGGUCCUGAAUGCUGUAGAGUUCUGGAAGAAUACUGCAUGGGUGAGUCAGGUUUGUGACAAGAGAUGAUAUAAAUAAAUCAGAGGAAGAGUUGAAGGGUUAUGGUGAGAAAAUGAUACUGGCAAGAGUUAGAGACGACAGGAGAAAUUGGGUAGAAAUUAGCUGUUUAGGCUGGAGAGGGACUGAACAGAGGGCAGUACUGAGAGUUGAUGAUUUAAUUUUUUUCCCUUCUUGGUAGGCUGUGCGGAGAAAAAAAAAGGAUAGCAGGGGGUAUACUGAUGGGAAUUAACCCAAAUAUUGAUGAUAAAAAAUAACAGCAAAUUGAAUAAAUAAGAAAGGGAAGUAGAAAUAGAGGUGGAACAGAAAGGGAUACUGGGCAGGGGUUUUGGGAGAAAUUAGGAAAUAUCUAGGAGGGGGAAAUAUGUGAUCAGAAUAUAGGCAGAUGAUACAGACAGUGAUAGGGUUGGAGAAGAGGAAGCUGAUAGGUUGUAUGAUACCCAGUACCGGAAAUUUAGUUUUAAAUGUUUCUAUUUACUUGGGUGUGAAUUUCAAAUUUUACUUCUUGGGCAUUGUAGCUUAUUAUGUAGUUUAUUACAGAACAGGUGAAGCUGGAACAGGAACCGGAAGUGCAAGAAGCGUGCCUCCAGACUUGAGAAUGGAUAGGACGUACAACAUUGUAACUAUCGCUGACUUCGAAUGUAGUGAGAAACUGUAUCAGCAUUGUUCUAGAUAUAUAUGUCCCACCCAGGAAAUUGAAUUACUAUUUACUUUCAUUAUAAUUAUUUGGUGACCUAGUAUAGUGGCUGCAGGUGGUAUAGUUGAGAUGGUAAAUACAUGAAUAUAUAUGGACAUGUAUACAUGGGUUUCAUAUAGAAUGAAAAUGCAUGCAGAUUGAGGUUUUGUGAUGGAAUGCUUUACGAACUGUUCAGGAUGUGAAUAAGCCUUUCAGGUUGAUUGAUAGAAUAACUGGCUCAGAAGCUGGGUUGUUACAGUAAAGGAGAUAAUGGGUUUCCAUGCCUGAGAUCGUUUUGGAAAUCUGACACCCUCAACCAUUCAUCCUUGAACCUAAAUGGGCAAGGUCUCAUUUGAUACUAUUAGAAUUCAAACAAAUGGAAAAAUGGUCCGAGAUCAUGCACUAGAGAUGUCUCUGGAUUAGCCUUGUAGUCUGAGAUUGAAAGGAGACACAAAUUAAGAAUCAAUUUAUCUUGGAGCAAUUAGGAUGAGAUCUUUGGUUAGACCAGAUCCACCCGUGAUUUUGAGAGAGGAAAGUCUUUAAGUUCUGAUCUAUCCACAAUGUCUUGGAAUUCCUUGGCACAAACCCUUGAGAACUGCAUUCAAGAACACUCACAUAUCUUGAGAACUAUGUUAAAGUCACUCCCUACAACCUAUGGAUGAUCCCAUUUCCUCCUACAUUUCUCUAGAUCACUCCACAAUCUUUUCCUCUCUCUCUCCUCACCUCUGCCAUUAGCCCCAGUAAGUAAAUAACUAUAACGACUCCCCGUACAUUCAAGCAAGUGUGAGAUAAAGCACUCACCCAUAUCGAAGUCCUUAUAGUGAAGAGUAUUCUCAUUCCAAGGCACUACAAUUCCACCAGCCGUAAUUGCAGCAACUCUCGCCAACACACCCUAAUCUUUCAAAUACUGAGUGUCAGGCUAUCAAAGAAAGAUUCCACUUUUGUUUCUUGUAAGCAAAUCAAUUUCCAUCUCAACAAGCAUCCUUUUACAGCUGAUCUCUUCUUAUGAUCAUUCAGGUCCCUUAUAUUUUGAAAAUAAUGCACUCUAACAUAAGGCUAGCACUGAAGUUUCACCAUUCUGUCCCUUCUUGCCCUUGUUAGAUUUCUCAUUGUUAAUUGUUGAUUGUAGUUUCAUUAUUAAUUUGUUGAUUGUUAGAUUUCUCAUUAUUAAUUGCUGAUGUCCCCUAUCAUGUCUCACCCAACAGCUUUUAUUCUCAUAUCAGUUUGGGCCACAGAAAGAAAUUUAUGCUUGUUAUACUCUCAAAUGGCUUGUGCUUGGAAUCUGUAAAUUAUUUGUGGUGGACCAGAUAUUAAUAUUUGCUGCAUAUAGUUAAAGCUAUCUUAACUUAGGUUGUUUUGUUGUGUCUGUCAAAUGAAAUUUAGUAACACCAAAUGUGGUUAUUCUUCAUUAAAAAAUAUUGCUUGCAAUUCUUUUGGUUAUAAAAAAUUAGAAGAAUGCUUUGCUUGCUUUUUAUCCUUUGAAACUGCUAUGUUUCCAAAAGAUAAAUGUGGGUUAUUUGGAGAAUUAGACAUAUAGUUAUGGAAGAGAAUGAUCUGACCCAGGUGUUAACUCAAUAGCAUUUCUGAGAUUUUGGACAUGAGCUGGAAAUAAAAUAGUGAAAGCGACAAGAUGAAUUUUCUUCUUGUGAAACAACUUUAAGGUUAGCAUAAUCUAAUUGGUUGCUCAUGUUUUAUGCAGACAAAUACGAGUGGUCAAGCUCCUCAAGGAAGUGAGUCAGAUGGAAUGCAUGGGAAUGUUGGUGGUCAAAACCAAGCAGCAUAUCAGACGCAAUCUGGACAGGCCUUACCCCAAUCGUCACCUCAAGUUGUACAAGUUCCUCUCUCUGCAGCAACAGCAGCACCUUUGCCUUCAUUUCAUGCGGUAGUUACACCUUCCUCUUUGGUGUUGCCUGAGAUAUACCAUAUAUGAAUUUGAUUACUUAUAAAAUCACUUUAUCAUUCUUGGUUCAGCCCAUUCCUGAUUCUCUGAGCACCCUUUUGGAGUUUACACGUCACAUGGAGCAGGCACUAUCACAAAAUGGUGAUGGUAAGAAGUACUGUCUCUGAAAUUGUUGAAAUUGAAUGCCACUACUAGUAGGUUAUAAAGUCAGGCUAUCAACCUUAUAAUUCUUCAGGUAGCACUGAAGAACUACCAAGGGUGGAACUGCGUCCUGGUCCACAAGGUUUACCGACACCUGAAGCACUGAGCACUGUCAUGCGUCAAGCACAAAGGCUUCUUAGUGGCAAUGCUACUGCUGCACUAUCUGUAAAUUUUUGUCUAUUUUUGUUGUCUUGCACAGACAUAUUUGGAAUUUUUUUGCCAUUUUUAAUUAUUAAAUGAGCAUAUAUAUAUAUAUAUAUGUAGGUACUUUAUUGCUUUUGGUGCUUGUGAUAAUCAGAAGUUUUGAAUAUGAGAUUCUUUUUUCUUAGAGUGAGAAAAUCUCUCCCUAUCAUUCACCAUUUUCCUGUGAAUUUUUUUAUCUGAUUAUUGUUAUCUGUAAUUUGCUGCAACUUUGUAGCAUCUUGCAGGGCGCCUGGAGCAAGAAGGUAGUUCUUCCAAUCCUGCUGUAAGGGGGGGAAUACAGUCCGAGUCAUUGCAAGUUGGCCUUGCAAUGCAACAUCUAGGAGCUCUUCUGCUAGAGCUUGGUCGUACAAUUAUGACACUGCGAAUGGGACAGUCUCCUGUACGAUCAAAUUCUUUCUCUAAUGCUACUUUAGUUUAUAAUUUCUACAAUGUAGAUAACUGUUUAUAUGUUAUGUUCUACAGGCAGAAUCAUCUGUUAAUGCUGGUCCGGCAGUUUAUAUAUCUCCAUCAGGGCCCAAUCCCAUAAUGGUUCAGGUUGGUCUGUAAUUUCGGACUGUAGGGAGCUCAAUAGGAUCGAACUACAUGUUUUUUUUUCCUUAGUUUGUCAUCAUUUAUUUUCCUUGCUAUGACUCUCUUUUACCAUGGUUUGUUCAGUCAGAUUCAGAUGGUUCUCUCCAUGAAAACUGUAGUGGUUUUAAAGAAAUAUUGGAUCUUUGAGACACAUGUUGAGUUCAUGACAUGUAUAUACCUUGUAGAGUUGCAUAAAGUUCUACCUAUGAUGUUAUCUGCUUAUUGAUAUCUUGGAAUAAUGUCUUUACAAUAUAUUUUGACAUGAAAGAAUACACUACUCUUGUAUGACCAAAUGUUGUUGGAUAUUGGAGAUUCUACUUUUGCUCUUAAUGAGCCAAAGGAAUUUUUAUGCAUAAGUUACCAAGGAUAAACAGGAAAACAGAAAAACAUGUAUACAACUUGGUGCCCGUUAUUAAUGAUACUUUACACUUUCCAUUAAAAAAAAAAAAAGAAAACAGACAGUCGUUGGAUAAGACUUUUCUAGUAAGGUUAAUAAUAUAAACGAGGGCUGAAAGGCAUAUGUGACAUCAAGAAUUUGUUUACUGUUAACAAAGGGCAUCUGCAAUUUGCCAAUUACUCUUCCCACCAACUUACCCAGUGAAGCAGCUAGAAGCAUUGCCAAUAACUUAUAUAUAGUCAACAAAACUUAUGGUCUGAACUGCUUCACAUCGCUUGCCAUAGAGAAAGUACUUGUCAAUCAUCUUAAGAAUGUCGUCUAUCAUUUUAAGAAUGUCACCUUUGAUACAUAUCUAUUUGUUUGUAAACGAGCCAUGGUGAAGUCACUACAUGGGGGUGGCCUAAUCCCUAUUGACUUGGACAAGGCAUAGAAGAUCUUUUCAUCUAAUUCCUUCUCUACCCCAACUUAUCCUCCCGAGAGAAAUCUGAAUUGUAUAGAUCAAUUCGACUAAUUUGGGUUUAGUGUAAAGAUAUUUAAAGUAGUUUUCUUAUAACCUGCUUCAAGUUUUCUCUUCACAAAAAGACUAGAAAAAAUAGUUUUUGAUCCAUCAGAAUCUCAACCUUUGCUUUUAGGAGAUUUCUUCCAUGUUUAGCUAGUAGGCAAACUCUAAUUUAGCCAUACAUCUAUAUCUCUCCAAACAAGAGAAAAUCACAUUGACGUCCUUCUUGUCUAAAUAUAACCGCCCGACCCCACUAAUGUGAGUACGGACGUCGGCACACACAUGUUAACCAUUAAGUAUACAAAAUUUAGAUACAUGCAGCGGUUUUGUACAUUACACUAAUUCAUCUCUUGUAGUUCAUUGUGUCAAAAUACAAUACCAUGAGGUAACACAUUAUGAUUCCAAUACAAGAGUUAACAGUAGGAACAAAUAACCUUAAUUACAAGUUUUACUAAAGUCCAGGUUCGGGUCCCCUACUUGUUCCUUACUGGUCUAGAAUUUGUUCCGGGUUCUCCUAAUCUGAAAAAUUGCUACUAUGAAUUUUGGGUGAGCUUUAUUUGCUUAGUAAGAAUAUGAUAGUAUUCUAUUCACAAAGGCAAACCUAAUGUAACCCACAUGCAAGUGGCAAAGAAAUGCAUUUAACAAGAAGGUUUUUAGUUGUAGACUGCUGAAAACUUCAUAGUAAGAUUUAUUUAAUUGCUUUUGUUUAGAAUACCUUUUUUGACUUACUUGCUUACCCAUUACCCUUUCCUCUUAGAAUCCUUACACAGACUAUGUAUUUUUGGCAGUGUUGUUAGUCUUAUCAUUCUUAAAGUGUCAAAUUCUCUUUAACCUUUUUCUACCACCUUUGUGACACCGACACUUCUUUAUCCCGAGGUUACUUUUCGAAUUAUCUCAAAAAAUUAUUUUAGGUUGACUGCUUCCUAUGCCAAUACAUAUGCUUAUGGUUUCUCUUCUAUUUUUCUAAAUCACUUGCCCAUUCGCUAAUGCAGUUGUUCACACAUUUACUUGCACAUAUAAUCACAAUUCACAAAAUUCACUAAGACAUUUGAGGACAAACACUUACACAUUUGAUCACAUAUUCACUCUUACAUUCAUUUACACUUUUGCUCUUACUGGGAUUCCAUUGUAUGAUAUUGUUUUUACCGGUAUCAACGAGGGCACAAAGGAUUCCCUCUAUCACAUGGACAGAAACACAUAUCACAUAUCGAAUUGGUCACAGUAGUAAUAUUUACUAGGUGACCCACACACAUCACAUUCCCAUCCACAUUUGGAUUGGACACUAUCAUCCAUCCAUGGGUAGAGUUCAUCACACAUCUCGCUAACAAGCACACACCCUUCAUUGAUACGUGGUCAAACGGACUUUGGUAUCUCAUUAACACCCUUAAAUUCUCCUUUUCCUUUGUUUUAUGUUACUCCUGAAUUUGAUAUGUUUUUUUUUUUUUAAAUAAAAAGUGUAAAAAGUAUAUUAAUAGGUACCAAUGAAGUACCAUUCAUGUACAAUUAUAUUUAUAAUAUAGUGAUAUAAUGUAUGAUAUUUCUAAAAUCAUCGCACCUAUACAUGUCAUGACUUAACAUAAGCGAACCAUAAAAAUGCAACCACCUAUCCUUAAUUCUUGUCAUCUCAUCCUUGAUACCAUUAAAAGCCCUACUAUUUCACUCUUUCUAAAUAACCCAAAAAAUAACUAAAGGUAUAAGCUUUAAGUGACUUUUCAUUUUACAUAACCCCUUUCAAGCCCAUAAUUCCCCCCUCUCCGAUCCAACAAUCACCUAUUUAAUGCCAAUCAGAUUAUACACGAUGGUUCAAAGCUCAUAAAUCACCAGGCACCAGAGAAGAGUACAAGAUUCUGCAUCUUUUUUGCAUAGAUAGAAACCAUUCACCAUAGUUCGGCUCAUUCUCAUAAGAUUAUCAAUAGUCAAGAUGCAGUCUCUCCCUACUUCCGAAGCAAAAAAAACAACUCUAGGCGAAACGUGAACUUUCCAAAUCUGACUAGCCAGAAACCAAACAACCCCCUCCCUCUGAUUGCCAACCAAAUAAUGAUAGUAGGACUUAACAGAAGAGUUGCUGUUUUUAGUCAACUUCCACACAGUGCAGUCUCUCUCAUCACUUACUAGAUCAGUGAGUCACUUCCAUGGUGGGGCAAGAAGGGGUAGUCAAAUUGGAAGAAUUCAAUAUAAGCAAGGCUGUUACCGACAAGGUGGCAAAUGCCCUGUCACGAAGAGAAGUUGGACAAUGGGGACAGCUACCAAUUUGACCACCAACAUUGCAGUAGAGCUGUUGGUGGUAGCUGCUGUGAUUACUCCUGCCUGGCCUAAUGAAGUGGACCUCAGCUACCAAGGUGACACCUCUCUCAAGGGCCUAGUGGCCGAGUUAUUCUCCACUCUCGAAAGCGGGCCCCCCCCUCCUUUCCCAUGACCAGCAAAAUGGGGGAUGGUGAUCAGGUGCAACACAAACUUGAGGAACAAGCUCCUUCAUUAGUGCGAUAAUUCAGCUAUCGGUGGACACUGGGGUGUCAAGACUACUUAUGUGAGUGCUUUAAGCAACAUUUCUUUUGGCCAUGCCUGAAACAGCUCGUAUCACAAUGGGUUAAGACUUGCAGUGUUUGUCAAAGAUGUAAUAGAAAGUGAGUCCCCAUUCUUUGAUUACGACUGCCCUUCGAUGCUCUUAUUCAAGCUUGGAUUCAUGUAUUGUUUGAUUUCAUUAAACCACUUCCGAAGUCCAAGUCUAGGGAUACCAUACUAGUAGUGCUUGACCAUUUCACCAAAUAUGGUGACUUCAUUCCACUUACCAUUCAUUCAUAGCCCAAGGGAUUGCCAGAAUCUACAUGGAUUCCAUCCAUAGGCUACAUGGAGUUCCGCAAAUCCUGAUGUCGGAUAGAGAUAAGUUUUUAUCAUUCUAUCUUGCCUGGAACUAACGAAGCUGUUAGGUGCUGAGAUACACUUUAGCUCAAUCUUUAUCACCCUCAAACCUCAAACUGAGAGGCUUAAUCAGUGUUUGGAAAUGUACUUCAGGUGUAUGGCUCAUCAACAACUAAAGUCCUAGACAAAGUAGUUGGCAACUGGUGGUACAACAACACAUACCACUUGAGCUUGAAAAAAAGCCCACUGCCCUAUUUUUCUGAAAUGAUGGACCUCCAAAAACCCUCACAACUUUGUAGAGGAAUACAUGGCCGAAAGGGAGCAAGCAAGCAAGCUAAUUAAUUGCCAACACCUUCUCCAGGCUCAAUACCGUAUCAAGCAAUAUGCUGACAAGCAUCGCAGUGAGUGCCACUUCCAAGAAAAUAUAACCUGGUGCUUCUCAAAUUACAGCCUGACCGACAAGGCUCACUUCUCAAGGGAGAAACCCCCAAAUUGCCCCCACAGUUUUAUGGGCCGUUUACUGUCCUACAGAAAAUUAGCAAGCGGCUUAUUGGCUUAAGCUAUUUCCUGCAUCCCAAUUUGUCCUGUUUCUCAUGUCUAUCAGCUGAAGAAGUAUGUGUCAAGUAGGCAAAUCCAUGUUAAAGAGUUGCAUGAAGUCAAUCAAGAAGUGAUAGUCAGCGUUCAGCCUGAACAGAUCCUACAGCACAGAAAAAUCUUUAGAUGGCAAGGAGGUAGACCAAAUGCUAGUGUAUUGGGCAGGAACUAGCAAGAAGGACUGCACUUGGGGAAGAUUCAUAGUUCUUCUUCCAGCAAUUUUCCAGCCUUGAGGACGAGGGUUUAUAUGUAAAAGGAGAUUUAAGAGAGUGAGGGAAUGGUUAGUUAAUUGGGUUCCAUUCGAAUACUCUAACCAUUCUAUAUAUAAUUGAAGAAGAAAUAAAAACAAGACUUAGCAGAAAUUCAAAUAUCUAAAUUCUUGAUCUCGCUCUCUUUUUCCUCCGUUCUCUCUCUCAUUCUUCGCUCUAUCUUGCUCUGGCUCUCUCUCUGUUCUUCUUUGAAGUUUUGAACAGUCAAGAGCUCAAUGACAAAUGCUCUUGACAAUUGAGUAGUCAGUAUGUUAAUUUUAUCCUAUCAACGUGAUUUCACAUUUCUGAACGAUUAUGUGUUCUCAUUAUUUUUUUCGAAAUAAAUUGUGUUCUCAUUAUAUUUGCUAUGGAAGAGAAUGGCCGAGCAUAGGGUUUGGUAAGUAUUCAUUGUGAAGCUCGAAGAUCAAGAUUUUAUAUUAUCAUCACUUCAAAACUCGGUAAAGAAGUUUUCUCUAACUAGGGAGAAUGAUGCAGAGUGGCUUAAGUUUAUAUUGCCUAAAACGCUCUAAAUUUUCUUUAAAUAUAAAGUUAUUUUAUUAUUUGAGAGUCUAUUACUAUAAUUUAGUAAUUUUAGAAUUCUAUUUUCUUUUAGUAUUAGUUCCCUGUUUUUAUUANNNNNNNNNNNNNNNNNNNNNNNNNNNNNNNNNNNNNNNNNNNNNNNNNNNNNNNNNNNNNNNNNNNNNNNNNNNNNNNNNNNNNNNNNNNNNNNNNNNNNNNNNNNNNNNNNNNNNNNNNNNNNNNNNNNNNNNNNNNNNNNNNNNNNNNNNNNNNNNNNNNNNNNNNNNNNNNNNNNNNNNNNNNNNNNNNNNNNNNNNNNNNNNNNNNNNNNNNNNNNNNNNNNNNNNNNNNNNNNNNNNNNNNNNNNNNNNNNNNNNNNNNNNNNNNNNNNNNNNNNNNNNNNNNNNNNNNNNNNNNNNNNNNNNNNNNNNNNNNNNNNNNNNNNNNNNNNNNNNNNNNNNNNNNNNNNNNNNNNNNNNNNNNNNNNNNNNNNNNNNNNNNNNNNNNNNNNNNNNNNNNNNNNNNNNNNNNNNNNNNNNNNNNNNNNNNNNNNNNNNNNNNNNNNNNNNNNNNNNNNNNNNNNNNNNNNNNNNNNNNNNNNNNNNNNNNNNNNNNNNNNNNNNNNNNNNNNNNNNNNNNNNNNNNNNNNNNNNNNNNNNNNNNNNNNNNNNNNNNNNNNNNNNNNNNNNNNNNNNNNNNNNNNNNNNNNNNNNNNNNNNNNNNNNNNNNNNNNNNNNNNNNNNNNNNNNNNNNNNNNNNNNNNNNNNNNNNNNNNNNNNNNNNNNNNNNNNNNNNNNNNNNNNNNNNNNNNNNNNNNNNNNNNNNNNNNNNNNNNNNNNNNNNNNNNNNNNNNNNNNNNNNNNNNNNNNNNNNNNNNNNNNNNNNNNNNNNNNNNNNNNNNNNNNNNNNNNNNNNNNNNNNNNNNNNNNNNNNNNNNNNNNNNNNNNNNNNNNNNNNNNNNNNNNNNNNNNNNNNNNNNNNNNNNNNNNNNNNNNNNNNNNNNNNNNNNNNNNNNNNNNNNNNNNNNNNNNNNNNNNNNNNNNNNNNNNNNNNNNNNNNNNNNNNNNNNNNNNNNNNNNNNNNNNNNNNNNNNNNNNNNNNNNNNNNNNNNNNNNNNNNNNNNNNNNNNNNNNNNNNNNNNNNNNNNNNNNNNNNNNNNNNNNNNNNNNNNNNNNNNNNNNNNNNNNNNNNNNNNNNNNNNNNNNNNNNNNNNNNNNNNNNNNNNNNNNNNNNNNNNNNNNNNNNNNNNNNNNNNNNNNNNNNNNNNNNNNNNNNNNNNNNNNNNNNNNNNNNNNNNNNNNNNNNNNNNNNNNNNNNNNNNNNNNNNNNNNNNNNNNNGCUUGAAGCUGUGUGUAUGAUUUUCAUGAAUCAAGUUAACAUGGUUAAACAUCAGGUACAUCACUUGCACCCAUUGUUUCAGCAGUCGGUAGCAGGGGAAAUGGAGAUGGAACACAGGGAGAAUACAGCAAUAAUACUGGCUCAGGUUCUAUGCGGGUUCUCCCUGUGAGAAAUGUGAUUGCAGCAGCUGUCCCAUCGCGUCCUCCUGUAGUGACUGUUCCAAGUGCCGCACAGCCUGGUUUAGGUGUUUCUGCUUCACAGCCAUCUCCUGUUGUUUCUGCUUCACAGCCAUCUCCUGUUGUUUCUGCUUCACAGCCAUCACCUGUUGUUUCUGCUUCACAGCCAUCUCGCUCUGCUUACCAAUCGUCUCUUGCUGCUGAGAUUAAUUCACGAAUCAGGGAUCACAUUCGUAACAUGCAAGGAGAAAGCCAGGUUGGAUCAGGUAAGUUGCCACUAAAGUCUCAACAAGGAUGAUGUUUUUGUGAAACAAUAGUUCAGGGGGCUGCUCUUUUUUGUAUUCAGGUCAAAGAGAGUCAACUGUGGAGGGUUCAACUGUCAGAACUGAUGCAGGUCGUGUCUUUAGCAACGAACAUCUUAAUGAUGUAGAUACUGGAGCUGAGGAAUAUCAUAAUUCCUUGCCUAGAUUCCCACAAGGAAGUGAUGGCUUGAAGGUAUUAAUUUUUCUUCUAUAUGGUGGGAUCCUAUGUUAAUAUCUCAGUGAUUGUAUCUGUACUCUCAAUAAAUGUUAAAAACCUUUGUUAAGGACCAACCACAACCCAAAUGCGAAGGCAACAUAAGUAGUAAAGAGGAAGGGAGUGAUUCAAGCUCCAAAGCUGCAUCAACUUGCUCUGUUGGUGAAUCUUCAAGUUGUUCAAUUGGCGAGUCCCCGGCUGUUCCCCUUGGAUUGGGACUGGGGAGUUUGGAGCGUAAGGUAAGGGUUUUUUUUUUUUUGAAUAAAAAGUGUGAAAUUCUAUUAAGUUGUCUUUCUAUUAUUUAAUUCUUUGCAUUAAUGUCCUUGUUUGUUAUUCUGUAUUCGUAUUUUAUGGUGAUUUCCAUGAAGUAAUGUAUAGUGGGGGAUUUACUGUUAUGUUGCUGCUGAACAGCAGCUUCUGUAAAACAUAGUAGUGAAUAUACAGAUACAUGGAUUAGUAAGAUUGCCAGUAAAUAUAAAUAUUCUGGUCAAAUUAUUCUUUUUUUUUUUUUUUUGAAGUAAUGGAGGGUGGAGACUGAACUGCUGUUCGUGUUAAGCUGAAAGAUGUGUCCACCAUGUAAGGUGGUCCAAUUAUUUCUUUUUUGUCUUCAAGGAGCAAGACCAGUUAACUUUUUUAGCUUAACAUGGUAAUGGAACCAUAAAAGAUCACUAAGUCUAAUGAAUUAAGGCUUAGUCUCAAACUAGUUCGAGUUGGAAAUGUGAAUAAAGGAAGAUUGAUUUUCUGGUAUUUGGACAUAGGAGUAAAUCAGACAGGAAAGGGAAAUUAGAAAAUGGUUGGCAUCCUGUUUCCAUUGUACUCAUUGGGGCUGCCAGUUGCUGUUAUUUUUUGGCCUUUUUCCUUAUGAAGGAGCAUUCCAAGAGGCUUGCAUUCCUUGGGUAGUGAAUCUUUGAAUUCUCUUAGCCAAAUUGUUAUCUUAACUUGAUAUGUGACUCCUGGAUGUAAGUAUAUUGUUGCCUUUCAAGUGGAUUCUGUUAUGUUCUUCUAGUUCUGAUUCCUUUUGUUAGAUAUUCUUAUAAAAAGGUGCCAAAACUCAUGUUUGUUGCAUGUUUAGGAUUUUGGCACUACAGGUUUAUGUGGUUUGUUGAAUGAAAUAAUCAUGGAAUGAAAAAUUAACUCCUAAGAAUGAAAUAAGACCAAAGAGUCGUAAUUGCUUGGUUAUUCGGUUUGCAUGGCGGGAUAGUUAUUCCAUUAUUAUUAUGGGUUUUGUUGAAUUGGUCUGUGAAUGGUUAAUUUGGCUGGAAUAUUAUAAGGGUAUUUAGCUUAUUAGACUACUAAGAUUAGAUUUAUUACUAUUACUUCUUAUUCGAUUAUAUAUCUACUUUAUUGUUAUUUUUUUGUUUAAGGGUUUUAACAUGUUACCUUCGUAUACAUCCUAUAAAUGCAUGGGUGGUUUGCUAUCAUAGCUAGGCUGCUUAAUAAUAUUAGUUAUGAUUUUCUCUCAUUGAAUUAAGUGAUCAAUGAUGCAAUGAUUGUGGUUGUUGCCAAUUCCUGUGGUCGUUAACUGGAUUUCUCUUUUAUUUUCUUUGAUCUUUUUAAUCUCUGUAAACUCUAUACUGCUGUGCUACGUCAUAAAGAACUUUAAGAGGCACCAGGGAUGCAGACUAUGGACAUUUAUAAAAUCUCAAGAGCCCAAAAAAAAAAAAAUCAAUCAGAUUCCCCCGGUCCAAAUCAAUAUCAAGGAUCAGACUUUUUUAUCAACAAAAUAAUUGAGUGGCAUCCCACUUGUGCUUUGGAUGAUUGUUUAUAUUCAAGAUGGAAACAGAGUGGUCAGUAUGAACCCGCAUAACUUAAUUUUGGAAAAAGGAGAGCAAAUGCUAUCCGAAAGAAAUAUUUUCGUUCGACUUUCCAAAUACUUAAAAAGACGAACUUAUAAAGAUAUACAUGGCAAAACUUCCACUUAGAUUAAGCCCACCAAGCCCAAAUCUAUUUUUUUUUUAAAUAAAAACAUAUAAGAAUAUUAACAUGGUACCAAAACAGGGGUACCAACCCAUUUACAAAAGAAUUACAGCUUAGUAAGCAUAUCAAUGACAAUGCAGAAUCCCAAAUCAAAUUUUGAAAUCACCCAAAUAAUUUUGAGGAGUCUUGACAUUGAAAUUGCAAUGAAGAAUCCCAACAACCUUCUAGCCCUUGAACACCAAGAAGGAACUUACGCCACAUGGCAUUAUCAUCUGAGAUAAAUCUCCAUUCCCAUUUAGCGAGCAAUAUGUUAUUAGAUUCCUCAGUAGCUUUUAUACCCAAUCGUUCACUUUUAAAGUCUGCAUCAUGACCUUGUCCCACCCAAUCAAAUGAUAUUUCUUUAUGUCUUACUUAUCGACCCAAAGGAAGCUCUGUUGCAGAGAUUCAAUUCUUUUGGCAACACUAGCAGGGAUUAGGGAAAAGAGACAGAGAGUUCAUAUGGAGGAUUUAGAGAGCACAUUUAAUGAGAGUCGAUCUUCCUCCUUCGGACAAUGUAUUCUUAUUCUACUUGGAUAAUAGUUGAAUGCAGGUAAUCUCCAUCCAGGCAAAAAGGUCAUUGACCUCUGAAUUGUUUAAAUUUUUAAGGAGAUGAAAACGUCAAUGGAUUCCACGGUUGUAGAUAUCAACUAUUCACAAGUCUUAAACUUGGCAAUCGAUAAAAUAGAGAGAAGGACCUCUUUUGAAGGUCUACCAAACCAAAUAUUAUUCCAAAAACUAAUCCACCUUUUGUUGGCCACCUUGAAAUGAAUAUGGUUACAAGUUCAUCCAGUUCCUCUCUAUCCACCUCCAAGAACUAGAGCCAUAAGCACCUCCAAGAAUUAGAGCCAUACACAAGCAAAUCUUGGCCUAAUGCAUUUACAGUAUAAGGAAUCUUUGCAAAAGAAGAACCUCCAUUUCAUUGCGAGCGAGAGAUUGAAGCGCCGCAGACCCCAUGCUUGAUUGGACACUUGCGAUUUGCAUGUUNNNNNNNNNNNNNNNNNNNNNNNNNNNNNNGGAGUAAAGUUAAAAGCUAUGAUUCAUCGGAGGAAUAAGGUAGGAGUUAAAUAAGAAUUGAAUCAAAGAGGUUGUAGAUGUUAAAUGGCAACAAUUCUGUGUCAUACUCACUCAUGCAAACCAAACAACCUGUGUGAUAAGUUAUGAGCUCUUGUACUUUUGGUCCAAAUGAUUGCCAAAGAGCACCAUUCUACCAUGGGCAUAGAAGAGAUCAGCCUGUGCUAUUCAAUUCAUCAGAUUAUUCUUUAGUUCUACUUGACAAUCUAGAUACUCUUCUUCUGAUUGUCUAUACAUUGCAUGUUGUUAAAUCGUCAAGGUGCUUGAGGGUGCAUGAUUUAAGCUACAGAGUGCUGUGUUUCUGUUAUUGAGUGAUGUUUUCAUUAUUUGUUAUAUUUUCUGCUACAUUGUGGUUAAAUUUGUUUCUCUUUGUUACUGUGAUUAGAGAUGUAGCAAGCAGGCAAAAUUAGGGGUCAAGAAUGGUGGUGGAAUAAAUACAAAUAAUGUCUCGUUUGAUCAGAACCGUAGCCCUGUAACUAAUGGCCGGCAGGUUCUGCAAUCUCUUGCCGCCAGCAGCUCUGCUGGAAAUACGUUAGGGACAGACGAUUCACACUCGAGUCAACUACCCUCUGCUAGAAUGAUGGAGAAUAGGGCAGGAAGGAGGCAAGAUUCUAAUAAUAGACGGGACACUGCUAAUGUGAUGUCUCAGGUCCUUCAAGGCCCUGCAUUAGAUGGUUUGCUGGCAGGCAUUUCAGGCCAAGCGGGUGUUGGUUCUCCAAAUGUGUUGAGAAAUAUGCUGCAACAAUUAACCCAGAGUCCUCAGAUCAUGAACACCGUCAAUCAAAUUGCUCAGCAGGUCGACAGCCAGGAUCUUGAUAAUAUGUUUUCAGGGUCAGGCGGACAAGGUGGUGGCAUUGAUUUGUCUAGGAUGGUCCAACAGAUGAUGCCUAUUGUCUCCCGUGCUUUUGGUGGUGGAUCUACUGCAUCUCAUCAGCCAUUUCCUGCUGUGGAACCUGAACCACUACAGAAUGAUGAGAGAACAAGCGGGGCUGACAAGCCUGUUGAUCAAGAUAUUCAGGUAUUUAGACCCCCCAUUGUCACAACUAUAAGACAUGUACAGAAACAUUGGUGAUUGCUGUUGCAAUACUCUGUAAUUCAUUUUUGGUUGUGUCAUCUUAUAAUUAAUUUAACCUAGAAAUUUUAAAAUAACUUGUAAUCUAGUUUACAACUAACCUGCCUGGUACUGGGUGUGAGGUGCUGGGUUUCAUGUGCUCAUGUAUGUUGGCACUAGAGGGAGAAUGGAGAGAGGGAACUAAAAUACUUUGGAACAUUUCCAGGGUGGUUGUAUCUCUCUCUCCUCGCUCCCCCUCUUUUUUCACAAAGUUGGCAACUAAGGUAAAAUUGUAAUUUGAUGGAAGGAAAAUAUUUUUCCAGUCCAAGAGGAGUUAUUUGUUCUUGGUACUGUCUUUAAGAGUAAAUGUGUCCUAUGUGCCACUGGAUUUGUGGCCUUGCUGGCAAGCCUUUGCUUGUCUUCCAUUCUGGCUAUCCCAAAUGGUUGUCACCUCGAGCGAGAGACAAUGGAUCAGUUAAAAAAUCAAGUUAUUGAUUGAGUAAUUUGAAUGUAUGAUGAAGAUUAUAUCCUGUCAUUAAUAGUUUAUACUCUGAUUUAACUAUUCCAAUCUUCUCUGUUGUCUAGAUAAACAUUCAGCCAGUAGCUCAAAUGAUUGAACAUGCCAGUUCACCAGGAGAUGUUUUCCAUGCUAUUGUUGAAAAUGCUGUUCAGUUGCAUGGCACUAGAAGUACUAAUGAAGAUCUCAUGAAUGAGUUAUUCAGCAAUGAGGAUCUUGCUAGCGUAAGUGUUCUUUUUAUGCACUCAACACUUUUUUUAUUUUUUAUUUUUAAAGUUCUUGUGCUCUACCAGAGUUUCUCAAGCUAUAUUGCAUGUCUGUGCUGUGUAUAUCAUGUACUGGUCAUUUUAUAGAAUCGUCUGAUAUGUUUCUGAUAUUGCUGCACUUGAGGAUGUUCGCCCCAGCUUAAAAUGCAUACUUUUAUUCAUGCAGGAAUAUGCAGAAAUGCUAAGACGAGAUAUAUAUCAACGGUUUCAAGAUGACUUGGGACAGGACAAGUGAUAAUUUUUUCUAUUUGUUUCUUUGGGAGUGGGAUUUUUUCACUAUAAAAUGGUGGGACAGCACGCUGAUCACAGGGCUUUUCAAUUGGUAUUGCACUCUUAAUUAGAGUACUGUACAAAUUAGGUAUUUAAGAUGUGCUUUUGAAGUUAUAGUUGAUUGCAAAUUACAGUUUAUCUGUCAGUCCUUAAUAUGCUGUUUCUGAUUCAUUCUAAAAUUAAUAUGAAUUCAUGAACUCCAGUUUUUUUGGAGGAUGAGAAGUGUAAUUUUUCGUUUGUCAACUAGAGAUUAUUUUGAUUUUUGGAAUUCCACGUGUCCAAUUGAUAUUCUUUUGUAAUAUGAAGAAAUUGUAGAGUAGGAUUACAGGGGAAAGAUAUAAGAAGGCAGGGAGGUGAUAAGAGCAAAGAGAAGACAGGAAGCAGAGAUAAGGUAUAUCCAGACUGCGAAUCUUGGUAAGUGUUUUAUCAUGUGGUGGAGAUAUUUAUGCUGUGGUCUGUUAUAGUUCUGUUACAUUUGGGUACAGAAAGCAUGUUUAACUAGCAAAUGAUUGGGUAACUUGGUCGUGUUUGGAACUAGCGCGUAAGAAAAUUAGGGAAAAGCCUUCCCUUUAGGUAACUGUGAGGAGUAUGGUCUCAAUUUAGUUGUCUUAGUAAGCAAUAGACGUUUGUAUACCUUUCUAAGUUGUAUAGCUUCUUAUUGACCUUGUCUUUGUUAUCCAAAACUGUUAAUACUUUUUUUCAUUAAUAAAAGAAAGCAGGCUGCUUAAAUUCAUUAUGAUUUCUUUAUAAUGCUAGUGAUACACGUCUGUGAGUAAAUGUUGUACAAAAGAUUUUUUCCCUUCUACUUUCUAUUUUCACUUGAAUUUUUUGUUGUGGAUAUUCCUUAUUCAAAAACAAGGUGGGUGAAACUCAUGAUAAAGAAGCGAGUAAUCUUCUAGAUUUUAGUUGUCUUAAUAUAUAUAUAUAUAUGCUUCCUUUUGUCUUUUUCCAAACUACCAUUUCUUUUUCUUUUCUUCUCUUGUUAGUUUACUUAUAUUUACUCAAGCAUAGUGUUAGUUUUAUUUAUAAUCCCAAAAAUUCAAAUUACUUAAUGUUUUCUCUUGUGCCCAAAUUGUUUUCUUUUGAUAUUUAGAUUUUACAUUCCCCCUUCCCACUUCUAUUCUUCUUGCUUCAUGCCACUCUUCAUGCUACUUAUUUUGCAAUUCAUCGGAUAAAAGUGAUGCCACUCCCGUUCUUUUCAAAUUCUUGUUGCAAAGCUUCUCCUCUUGUUAGAUUACGUCGAACAUUUGUAGUGUUGCUUUGAUUCUAGAGGCACAAUGUUAACAUGUAGGAUGCUCGUGUUUUCGUAUGGGAUCAAAUCUUCCCUCUUUUUCCAAUAUUUGCACGUGGGUAGGGAUAGCUUUGCAAUUCACUGGAUAAAAGUGAUGCCGCGCCCGUUCUUUUCAAAUUCUUGUUGCAAAGCUUCUCCUCGUGUUAGAUUACAUCGAACAUUUAUAGUGUUGCUCUGAUUCUAGAGGCACAUUGUCAACAUGUAGGAAGCUUGUGUUUUCGUAUGGGAUCAAAUCUUACCUCUUUUUCGAAUAUAUGCACCUGGGUGGUAGGGAUAGCAAAGUUGGGUUCUUAUUAUAAUAAUGGUUCCAAUAUACCUUCAAGACUGAAAUGUUUUCUGUAAUCAAACUCACCGUAUUAGGAAUAAGAUAUUAUGAUUGUCAAAUGUACAAAAUUUGUAUAUACCCAUUAGCUUAUUAUACUCGUUACGCCAUACUCUUAAUUAUUUUACAUUAGUUAGAUGUAUUUAUAGAUGUUUAAAUCUUUUAUCUUAGUACUCGGAGUCUUAAUUUUAAACGAACAUAUGCAUAAUUGUUUUUUAUUUUGUUCAAUUAAGUGCUUAAAUAUUUUAUUUUGAAUUAAAAGAUGCAUAAUCUUCUUUAUUUCAUUCAAUUAGUACCCAAAAUUUUGUUCUGAGCUUUUAUUAGAUGCUCUAUAUUUCCCAUUUGUAUUUAAUAUAUAUAUAUAUAUAUAUGUUAAUAAUACAAAGCUAAUAAUAAGUAUAUCCAUUUGUUCGCACACUUCAUAUUUCCUUGAGAUUAAUACGUAGUAAUCAAUAAAAGGGCUGUAAUUUAUAUUUCAUUUUAAUUAUUAAGAUAUUUUUAGAUAUUGCUUUUAUGUUUUUUGUAUUAUUUAUAAAUUAUAUUAUCAUGACAUUAAAUUAAUAUUACUAACUGAUGUGAACAUUCAAUAAAACAUAAUUAUAAAUACCAUAAUAUUAAAUUAAACACAAUUAGAAAAUAUUAGAGAUCUAAUUGUUCAAAUUAAGAGCCUGAGUAUUAAUUGAUACACGUAUAUUCAAAAUUAGAUAUUUAAUUAAACAAAAAAAAUUAUAUUCAUAAAAUAAAAAUUCAGAAAAGUAAAUUGACUAAGCGUGCACCCAUGCCGCCCCUCCCCUCCUCCUCUCUCUCUUUUCUCUGCAACGCCAACGCCCCCGGUUCGUCCCAUCAGCCUUCGCCUCUCCCCGUCUGCUGCUCCGGUUAGACAGGCGGCUCGGGGCUGCCCGUUUCUGAUGCAGUAUUGCUGCCAUUAAGUCGAGUCUUCGCGGAUUCCCGGUCACCGCCUCGCCUUCUGUCAGUCUCGGCCGAGAAGAAGACACAAGUAUUAACCUCCUAGCUUUCCAGACGCUCACGACUGCUCUCGAACAUUCACUCUAGUCCAAGAAGUAUUUUUCUAAUUUUUCCAUGUUUUUCCCUUUCUUCUUGCUAUUUCCGCUAAUUUUAUUUUCUUUAAUUAAUUAAAGCAAAAUUUACGAAGGCGUUUGUCUCACUUUAUUAUAAGUUCUCUAACGGUGUAGAUAAAUAUAAGAUAUGAAAUUUUGGCUUAACUGGAACUUAUUAGCUAAGUGUUUGAGUAAAUUAUUUUAUCUGGAUUUAAAUGGGUCCAAUUCUCACCUGUAGAAACAUAAUUUUCUUCCGCACUCAAUUUGAUGGACUGGGCACUUGUUAGCAUUUUUGCUGUGUUGGAAUCGAGAUACAUUUCUUUAUGAUUUUUCUACUGAUGUGCUAUAGUUGUUUGUCUGUGAUUGUUGAAAAGAUGUGUGCAUACUCGUUGAUUAGCAAAUUAAUUUGUGCAUACGCUCCUGUUUUGUUAAGCGGCGCCAUACUGGCACCACUUGGAAUAGUUUUGUAGCUGUACUAUGGGAAAGCUUUUCUCUGUUUAAUGACUUGGUACCUCUUCCUUGAGUAAUAGGCUUUCUUGAGCAGGCUUCGAUGCAUAAUAUUGCUCGAUGGUUUUGCUUUUUUUUUAUUUCUUUUGGGUGGUUGGAAGAGGGAGGGGGGGAGGUGGUGUUUGUUGGUUUAGACUUACGUAGACCAUUGCACAAAAAAAUUUAGAUGUUUUACUGGGGAAUAAGUCCGAUGACGUCAUUACUUGUUAUGAAGUUCUAUUUUGACUCCUUGGGAAUUGCUUAAUGAUGCCAGCAUGUUGAGAUAUUCCUUGGUUUAGAACUGGAUAAAGCCUUGUAUCAAUUAGGUGUGUAUCACAUGGAUUCAGUUUUUCAGUUUAGAACUGAACAGUCAAGUGUUUGGUUGGCUCAGUUGGUUGGUUUUGUAACAUCUUCUGUUAGUUCUCAUUGGCCAUUACAAUUUUGGCCUCAUCAGUUUUUGUUGGUUUGUUCAGUUGUUUUAAACUGAAUUGCGCACUUGCUCCCCCCGGAUAAUACGCCACAGCUUUACAUGGAGGAGGCGCAGGUGAAGACAAAGAAACCUGGGACUCGCCUCUGUUGCAUCUGUAAUCAGAAAAGGGCUGCCCUCAAAAGACCUAAAACCCUUGAACAGGUGACUUCUCACUUCCUUGUUUUUAUCCUUUUUGAUAGUUGAAAUCUUUGCUUUAUUUUUUUUCAUUAAUAUUUGGUUUGCCUGCCAUGAAAAAGAUGGAAAGCAACUAGCAAAAAGAGAAAAUAAUUUCCGCAGUUGAUAGGUUUAAAGAAUAGUUUGUAAUAGAAGUUCUGGUUGCUCCUUGGUUAUGUAAUGGCAAAUGGGUGACCAAUAUAUAACUGUCCCAUAAUUAUUAAAAAAAAUAACUAUACCAUAAUUGAUUUCUGUGUUGUAUAUGAUUACUUAGUAAAAAGAGGAAAUUGCAGCACUUUUAGUAUUUAUGCUUGUUGAUUCUUGGUUUUUUACUAUAUUGGACCAUUGAAAAAACGUAAGUGAAACCGUGGUUGAAUUUUGUUGAAGUUAUUUAAAUGUAUUCCACUCAAAUCAAUUACUCAUGUGAAUUGUCUGUAUCCUGUAAGAGGGUUGUGUUGGUGAUCCUUGAUUGCAUUAAUAUUUUUAGAGUAUGCCAAAAAUUUUCUUUCCAAAAGAUAUGCAGGGAGUGUUUUUAUGAGGUCUUUGAGGAAGAGAUCCACCAGGUGAUUGUGGAAAACCAACUGUUCAAGCCUGGUGAGCGAAUUGCAAUUGGGGCCUCCGGUGGUAAAGGUGAAUCAUUAGAUAAUUUGUUAGUGUUUAUAGCUGUCAAUAGUCUCAAUUGUGAACACAUGUAAAAUGACGUUAUAUUUGGAUUGUGAAUGCUAUUACACUGUUCUUGGAACAAACGAAUUCUACCAGAGAAAAAAGAAUUCAAUUGCAAAUCCAUAUUUUAUUAUUUGAAUUAUUCCAAAUGUGGAAUUUAUUUUGAAAUGAGUCCCAUAUGAAAUAUGUUUUAUUUUUAAUCCUAUCAACAUUUAUACAAUUUCAAAUUGUAAAUAAACUUGAGAGUUUAGAAGAAAAUGUUUCUUAAAAUGUCUUUUGCUACACUUGUUUGUGUUUCCUCCAGUGUAAUGAUUGAAUUUUUUUCAGAUGAAGUGUAGUCAUUGAGUUGAAUUCCGUAAAGUAUUUUGAAAUUUCAUGAUUUAUUUCGAACAAAAAACCAUUUAUAAACAAAUAUUCUGUUUAAUUCAUUUAUGAAAGAAAAUGAAAUCGUGUUGUUCAUUCCUUUCAACAUGACCUUAAGCUCAAGUUUGUGGAUUUUUUGAAUCNNNNNNNNNNNNNNNNNNNNNNNNNNNNNNNNNNNNNNNNNNNNNNNNNNNNNNNNNNNNNNNNNNNNNNNNNNNNNNNNNNNNNNNNNNNNNNNNNNNNNNNNNNNNNNNNNNNNNNNNNNNNNNNNNNNNNNNNNNNNNNNNNNNNNNNNNNNNNNNNNNNNNNNNNNNNNNNNNNNNNNNNNNNNNNNNNNNNNNNNNNNNNNNNNNNNNNNNNNNNNNNNNNNNNNNNNNNNNNNNNNNNNNNNNNNNNNNNNNNNNNNNNNNNNNNNNNNNNNNNNNNNNNNNNNNNNNNNNNNNNNNNNNNNNNNNNNNNNNNNNNNNNNNNNNNNNNNNNNNNNNNNNNNNNNNNNNNNNNNNNNNNNNNNNNNNNNNNNNNNNNNNNNNNNNNNNNNNNNNNNNNNNNNNNNNNNNNNNNNNNNNNNNNNNNNNNNNNNNNNNNNNNNNNNNNNNNNNNNNNNNNNNNNNNNNNNNNNNNNNNNNNNNNNNNNNNNNNNNNNNNNNNNNNNNNNUUUAGGUUUCUUUUCAUGGUUCUGAUAGUCAGCCAAGCAGUCAAUAGCAAUUUAGGCCUCAUGUCAAAGGCAUCCACGGAAUGUUUCCAGUAGUUUUGACUUUUAUUGCACCUUUAGCAGGUGGUUUAUUAAUUAUUUUGGAAAAGGUUAAUUCCAUUUUCAAACCUUUCAAAUUUUCUCCAGAAUCCAUGAAUAUAUCUACUAUCUCCUUUUUGAGUUUUGAACAUUCUGUUGUAAAGCAGAAUCAAGUUCUAAAUUAAAUGGCAUUGGCGUAUUUGUUUAUGCAUGAUACCACUAUGCAUUUGUCUUUGUUGGCAUGGCUGGACUCCAUAUUUAUAUUCAAUAGGAAUAGGCAUUCAUUUUGGUGCAUCCUCGUGCAGAUUUGUUGCUGGUUUAACCACACAUUAGCCCUUAUUACAUUCUGUUGAUUAAAGAUUGAAAUAUUUAUGGAUUUCUUUAAGGCUCUUGAUCGAGGUGCUGCAUUAUUGAAAGUAGAUAAGGUGGCUACAGGACAUAAUGCAGAUGACAUUGCCGAAACAGUUCUCUUAAACAUAUUGCGUGGGGAUAUCGCUAGGUAGUGACGCACUAUUUAAUUUAUUUCUUUCAUGGUUGUACUCGUAUCCUCUUUUGGUAAGGAAACUGAGUUUAUGCCUUUGACAUUUUAGACUGAGUAGAUGCACAUCAAUAACUACUGGUGAAGAUGGACCAAUCCCACGAUGCAAACCUUUUAAGUACACUUACGAAAAGGAGAUUGUGAUAUAUCCUUUUAUUAGAAAUUUGUGUUAGAUGGAAACCUAAUAAUGUUAGUUUGGAGUUGAGAUGUCUUGGCACCUUAACAGAUGUCCACGUAUGCUUAUUUCAAGAGGCUUGACUACUUCUCCACAGAAUGUAAUUAUUGUUUUCCCAUUUCUUUCUUUUUCUGGUUGUUUUUUUCUUUUAUAAUUUAUUUUUGCAAAUUAAGAAUUGGUAUUUUUGAGCUGCAGGCAUAUACUCUCCAAAUGCAUAUCGUGGAUUUGCCCGUGAGUUCAUCAAAGAUUUGGAAAGAAUAAGGUCAAUCACUUUUCCGAUUAUUGAUUUGAUAAAUCUUGAGAAAAAGACACAAAUCACUUUUGCUCUUUGGUUUCUCUUUCUAAUUCCUUGUAUGGUCAUAGUACUUGAAACAGAAAAAUCAGAAAAAUGAGAUUGCAGAAUGUAUCCACAGUCUUCUUCUUUUCUAACCUUCUGUGUCUGGAAAAGUUUGGGUUCAUUACGAGAGAACCCAACAAUAAAAAGAAAAGUACUCAAAACUGUCUGAAAUUAUUAUUUGCCUACACAUUUAUUCCUUCCAGAAAUGGUUAUAGAUGUACCCAUUCUAGGACAAUUGUAGAAAAUAAGAAGAAAUUAGGUUGUAUAUUUUCUGUUUCUUUUUUUUUUAUUUGCUGUCUACGGAGGAAGUUACAAACAGAUUUCCUCCUCCCCAUAAAAUUAUUAGAAUCUUGUUAGAAUUUGUUGGCUUUGUUAGCAUUUAGGGUGUAUAAAUACCCAUCAUUCAUGAUGAAAAAAAAAGAUAGAUGAGAGGCAACAUUUCUUCUCAAAUUUCUUCAUAGUAUCAGAACUAUACCAGAUCCAAGAAGGGUGAUCCCUGCUGAGCUGUAAUCACAAAUGGCCACAGGCGAGCUUCCGUCUUCUCCAGAGGUCUCCUCUGGUUUCUAUCAUCACACAGCAACCAGCAACAUUGCGAGUGAGAUGUCUUCGUCCUGCAUUAUAGGACACAAACUCAACGGCAGUAAUUACCUACAGUGGUCGUCCUCUGUUCGAUAGUUCAUCCGAAGGAAGGGUCACUACGGACAUCUUACUGGCGAAGUUGUAUCUCCUCCAGCGACUGACUCAAGCACUCACGUAUGGGAGAUUGAAGACAACAUGGUGAUGUCGUGGCUCAUCACGUCAAUGACCCCAGAAAUUGGAGAGAAUUUUUUACUCUAUGAAACUGCUCACAAAAUCUGAAAAGCAGCUCAGGAAUUUUACUCCAGCAAAGAAAACACUUCCGCCAUUUUUGAGAUAGAGUCCGUGCUUCAUGAUCUUCGGCAAAGCAAGUUAAGCGUCACUCAGUAUUACAACGCUUUAACUCGUAACUGGCAGCAGAUGGAUACAUUCGAAGAGCGUCGAUGGAGCUGCCCCGAAGAUGCGAAGAACUUCAAAUCGUUCGUCGAAAAGAAACAUGUCUUCAAAUUCUUGCUGCGGUUGAACAGGAAUCUCGACGAGAUUCAAGGAUGCGUGUUGAGUACCAAACCCUUGCCGAGUCUUCGGGAGGCGUUCUUUGAAGUCCGACGCGAACAGAGCCGCAAGAAGGUUAUGAUGGUUGAUGUUGAGCAGACCCACCUGGCCGAAGACUCUUCAGCAUUCACAACUUGAGCUGUCGACGCUCGAACGAAGAAGAUGAGGCCCUAGUGUGAUCACUGUAAGAAUCUAGGGCAUACUCGUGAGCGCUUCUGGAAGCUUCAUGGGAAGCCAAAUGACUGGAAAGCCUUCAGUGAGUGGAAAUCCGCUAAGGCAGAAACCUCAAGCAAACAUCAGGGCAAUCAUGUAAUUGCUAAAGAAAUGCUCUCUUGUGCUAUGGAGAGCAGCCCUUUCAAUCCUGAAUAGCUGGAAGCCCUCUAGCAUAUUUUGUCAAAAAAUUUCUACCCGGUCAGUGCCUCUGUGGCACACAAAGGUAAUAUCCUUGGUUUAUCUAUUUUUCCAGAAAAAGGACAUGUGUGGAUAGUAGACUCUGGAGCUUCUGACCAUAUGAGUGGAGAUGCCUCAAUAUUUCAUAAAUACAGCAAGUGUGAAGAAAUUUUUUCAAUCAGAAUUGUUGAUAGUUCUCUUUCAAAAGUAGCUGGAAUGGGCUUUGUAAAUUUAUCUCCAAAUUUAACUCUAUGUUCAGUUCUCUAUAUUCUAAAUUUGGAUUGUAAUUUACUAUCAGUUAGUAAGUUAUGUGAAGACUUAAAAUGUACUGCAAAAUUUGUCCAUAAUAUGUGUGAAUUUCAAGACUUGGACUCGGAGAAGACGAUUGACAGUGCUAGGAUGAGCUCAGGAUUAUACCUGCUUCAAAUCAACACUUCUAGAAGACAAGCUCACAAAGCAGUAUGUGCAAACUCUGUUUAUGCAAAUAAUGAUCAUGAUAUCAUGUUAUGACACUAUAGACUAGAACAUCCAAAUUUUAUGUAUCUAAAAAGGAAGUUUCCUUCGCUAUUCAAAGAAAAAUAUCCAGUUUAUUUUCAGUGUGAAGUAUGCCAAUUUUCUAAACAUGUUCGAAGUUCAUUCCCUAGUUUACCAUACAAAUCAUCAAAACAGUUUACAUUGAUUCAUAGUAAUGUAUGGGGACCAUCCAAGAUCCCUAAUAUCACCGAAACUAGAUGGUUUGUAUUCUUCAUUGAUGACCAUACAAGAAUUACGUGGGUAUUUCUUAUGAAAGAAAAAUCAGAAGUUGGAUCUCUAUUUAAAAAAUUCCAUACAAUGAUUCGAACCCAAUUUCAAGCUACUAUCCAAGUGUUGAAAUCUGACAAUGCUUGUGAAUAUUUUGAAGCCACCCUUGAAAAAUACUUUACUGAACAUGGAAUUAUUCACUAAAGCUCUUGUGUUUAUACCCCACAACAAAAUGGCAUAAUCGAAGGGAAAAAUUUGACAUAUUCUUGAAGUAGUUAGAUCAAUUAUGUUCACCACUCAUGUACCAAAAUUCCUCUAGGGAGAGGCAGUUCUUUCGGCUAUCUACUUGAUAAAUCGGAUGCCUUCCCGGAUCUUACAAUUUCAAUCGCCUUAUGCCAUUCUUUCACAAACCUUUCUUACAUCUCAUAUUUUAAAUACAUUACCACUCAAAGUUUUUGGUUGUUCAGCUUAUGUCCAUAUUCACACACACCUCCGUGGGAAACUUGACCCAAGAGCCAUAAAAUGCUAUUUUAUUGGGUACUCUGUUAAUCAGAAAUGCUACAAGUGUUUAGUGCCGGAAACCUGUCGCUUCUAUAAUACAAUGAAUGUCACAUUUUUUUAAAAUCAAUCUUUUUACCCCAUAACUGAUAUUCAGGGGGAGACAUUUACUUAGGAAUAUCAGUUAUGGGAUGUGAGUAUACCUCCUCUAUAUCCACAGAGUCAUUUCUCACCAGACAAACCUUCCCUAGAAUCUGAACCAAAGCUAGUUACAGAGAACACAUUACCUGCAGCUAGUGAGCUACGUGUCUAUACUAGAAGAAACAAAGAAAAAGCACCCGAAUCAUCCAAGCCCUGCCAUGAAUCCACCCUGGAUCCAGGUAAUGUAAUCUCUGCUUUUACUUCAGAUACUGAUAUUGAUGUUCCUAUUAUUUUGAGAAAGGGGACUCGAACAUGCACUAAAUAUCCUAUAUAAGAUUAUGUUUCUUUGGACAAGCUGUCUUCGAAGCAUCAUGCUUUUAUAUGCAGGAUAGACAAUAGUUCACCAAUGCCCAAAACAAUUCAUGAAGCUUUGUAAAUACUUGAACGGAAGAUAGUUGUUAAAGAGGAAAUCAAGGCAUUUGAAAAGAAUAAAACAUGGGAAUUAGUGGACUUACCUCCAGGAAAACACCAAGUGGGGUGCAAAUGGGUCUUCACAACUAAAUAUAAUCCAAAUAGGAGUGUGAAUCGGUAUAAGGCUCGACUGGUAACCAAAGGCUACACUCAGUCAUAUGGAGUAGACUAUCAAAAGACCUUUAUUUCAGUAGCCAAACACAAUAUUAUUCGGGUACUUCUUUCACUUGCAUCUAAUCUUGAUUGGCCAUUUUACCAACUAGAUGUGAAGAAUGUAUUUCUUGAUGGUGAUCUAGAGGAAGAAGUAUAUAUGAAUAUACCAUCAGGGUUUGAACUAACAGAUAAUCCUCAGAAAGUGUACAAAUUGAAGAAAUCACUCUAUGGCUUAGAACAAUCUCCAAGUGCAUGGUUUGAUAGAUUAACAAGAGCUGUAAAAUAUGAAGGAUAUGAACAAUGUCAAUCCGAUCAUACACUAUUUGUCAAACAUUGCACCUCAGGUAAGAAAGCCAUUUUGAUUGUAUACGUAGAUGACAUCAUUCUUACAGGUGAUCACAUUGAGGAGAUUCAGAAACUCAAGCAAUUUCUAACCCAAGAAUUUGAAAUUAAAAAUUUAGGGAUGCUGAAGUACUUUCUUGGUAUGGAAGUGGCUAGAUCUAAGAAAGGAAUUUCAAUAUCUCAACGAAAGUACGUUCUGAAUCUCCUAAAGGAGACUGGGAUGUUAAGAAGCAAGCCUGUUGACACUUCUAUGGAUUCAACCAUUAAACUUGGAUCCAAAAACAGUGAUAAAACAGUUAAUAAAGGGAGGUACCAAAGACUUGUUGGGAAGUUUAUCUACCUAGCGCAUACAAGACCUGACAUCAGCUUUGCAGUGAGUACAGUAAGUCAGUUCAUGAAUCAGCCAACUGAGAAACACAUGAGAACUGUGUAUCGAAUUUUGAGAUAUCUUAAAAAGACACCCGAACAAGGAUUGUUCUUUCAAAAGACAAAUAAAAGAGAUGUUGAAAUUUACACUGAUGCAGAUUGGGCAGGCUCUACAAAUAAUAGAAGAUUUACAUCAGGAUAUUGUACUUAUGUUUAGAGGGAACCUGGUCACCUGGCGAAGUAAGAAACAAUCAGUUAUAUCUCGCAGCAGUGCAGAAUUUGAAUUUAGGGCCCUUGCUCAUGGAAUAUGUGAAGGUAUGAAAGAGAAUACUUGUCGAAUUAAAGGCCCCUAACAACGUGCUUAUGAAGGUGUGGUGCGACAAUUAAUCAAUCAUCCGUAUGACCAAAAACUCUAUACAUCAUGACAGAACCAAACAUGUGGAGAUCGAUCGUUAUUUUAUCAAAGAGAAAUUAGAAAAUGGAACUAUAACACUGAUGCACAUUUCAACCAGUCAACAGAUUGCAGACAUUCUAACGAAAGCUUUAUCUAAAAGAACUUUCGAUGACAACAUCCAAUUUAGUUUUACUCAACAUAUAUGUAAACUAGAUUGAGGGGGAGUGUAGAAAAAUAAUAAGAAAUUAGGUUAUAUAUUUUUUGUUUCUUUUUUUUUUUAUUUGCUGUAUACGGAGGAAGUUACAAACAGAUUUCCUUCUCCCCAUAAAAUUGUUAGAAUUUUGUUAGGUUUGUUAGCAUUUAGGGUGUAUAAAUACCCAUCAUUCAUGAUAAAAAAAAAAAAAAAAAAAGAUAGAUGAGAAGCAACAUUUCCUCUCAAAUUUCUUCAACAAUGUUAGGACAUACAACUAUUUCUUAAGAGUAGCUAACUUCCUUACUGAAGGAACCAACUCCGACAUACAAGCAAAACAAAAACUAAUGCAGAUAAAAUUAAAUAAGCAAAACGUGAACUGUUCAGACAGCAACAGGCUAUCAUGUUACUGUCAUGUAUGAAUAUCCUAAUGAGAACACUUUCUCCCUUGAAAACAAGCUUGUCCUGAAGUGCCAAAGUAAGAUAAAGCUGCUGGUUCCCAAGAUGCCUUUGCUUCUGGACUCGAUUCACUUGGAUGAAAUAUAUAGAAAGUCGGGCAACAUCCAUCACUUCUGUAUUACUGUCAGGAUUCUUUAGUAGAUCCACAACAAAACCUUCAACCUUUGCGACUGUCAGUAUUCAGAAAUAGAUCCACAUCCAAAUCUUUAACCACGGAGAGUAAUUAAAAUCCAAAAUAAUCUCUGCUGAAGUAACUUGCCAAUAUCUUUCUCCAUUUAAGUGCCUCUUGAAUAUGAAAGUAAGAGUUCACUAAGAGAGAACCUUCAAUCUCUUCAAAUAAUCACUACUCUGAUACCAAAUUGUAUCUUCCUUUCCCUGAAUUGGUUAUGUGACUUGAAAUUGAAAUAAUCAGAAAUAAGAAAUUUCAGAAUAAAUCUGCAAUCUUCUCCUUUUCUAACCUAUUCUGUCUAUAAAAGUUUGGGCUCAUUAAGAGAUGACCCAGCACUCUCUUUGAGGAACAAAGAUACUUAAAUUUUCUAAAAUUAUGCUUACCCUUUUAUUUCUUUUUGAACUGAUUAUAAAUAUACACAUUCUAGGACAAGAUGAGGGCAUACAACUGCACGUAAAGAGUUGGCAACUUCCCUUUACUGAACUAACCAAUUCCCACAUACAAGGAAAACAAAAACUGUUCAUGCACCAGCUGUCUAUCAAGUUAUUCAUGUGUGAAUAUCCUAACAAAAAUUCUGUCAACUACUAUUUUACUUUUAUUGUACACCGUAACAGUUUUGCUCGUAGUCUAGAGACAAUAAAGUUUGAUGGUUUUGUCUGAAUGAUGUAGACCAAGGGCUAUACUUGAUAUCAUCAAAUCAGGCGAGAAUUUCAGAAUUUCUACAUAUACAAAGAUGCCAGAGCAGGGAACCUGUGAACGAUGUGGCUACAUUUCUAGCCAGGUAAAUCUUGCUUAGUUCAUGUGAGCCUUCUUUGACGCAUUCCAAAUUUGACAGACAUGAAUGAUGGACAAGCGUAUUGCUUUAUUAACAUUCGUUGUGCAGAAGUGGUGUAAAGCCUGUGUUUUAUUGGAGGGACUAAACCGGGGUUUGCCAAGGAUGGGCAUUGGGCGUACUCGAGGCGUCAAUGAUGAGCAGAAGGAUAUGAAACAGAGUAGUAUAAAAAGUAUUGAGAGCAAACAAUGUGGAAGUUUGGACUUCUAGUGUUGAAUGAGUGCAGUUAUACUUUGCUUGCCGGAAAUGAUGGGGCAAAAAUAUGCUCGGUUUGGAUUGAGGGCUGAAAUUAAAUUUCAUUUUCAUAUUUGCCACUGAAUAUUUUUUGACACCAUAGGGGGAUUACAGCAUUCUAUUGCUCCCACAAAGAAGAGGAAAGACUAAGGAAGAGUAGUAGAGGCACCAUAUAAUUUGGUGCCUUGUUGUAAUGCUUAUCGUUCUUGCUCGAAAUUUUCCGAGAUCUGUUUUUAGCAAAUUUGUACUCUGAGUUUUAUCUUAUAACUGCUUUUAGAACUGUUUUAUGUUUUUAUAUAAUGAUAUGUCAAAUUCCGAAGUAGAAAGAAAAAUAACUUUAAGAUCUUGGAUACUGUAAAAUAACUAAAUAUUAAGCUGUUAAUACUUACAUAGUUUAAACUAAAAUAAAAUCAGAAGUAUGUUUUCCCCAUUUUUAAACGGUAGAAAGGUAUUUCAGUUUCCAAAAUUGCAUCUUAUGUUUGUAUUUGUUUCCUACCGCGGGAGCAGCUGUGUUGGGCCUUAAAACGCACCGGUUUAUGUUUCAUUUUGUCUCGUCAUCUACGACUCUCACCAUUUGAGGAUCUUCCGCAACCAAACAUAGUCUCCGUCGCUCCUAACUUACGCCCGAUGGCCUCCUCCGCUUCACCGAGCUCGGCCACGUCCGCCCAAAACCCUAAAAAGACUCUAGGGUUUAUAGCGAAUGCAAUGAAACGCAAAGAUAGCUUCAUUCAGUUCUUCGCAAUGACGGGGAUAUUGCUUUUGAGCAUCAGAUCGUUGGGUCAAAAGUAUCGUAUUCACGACCUCGAAGAAGACACGUUAGCCCUUAAGGAGGAGCGACAAACUCUAGCCGACCGCAUGAAGCACAUCAAGACCGGCCUGCUUCACGAAGCUUCCCUUGAUCCUACUGGCCUCUUCGCUUCUCGGCUCCGCCUUCUCUUCGGUGGCGACGAUUGACUGAUUGAUUACCCAAGUGAGAUUAGGGUUUUUUUCGGAUGUUUUUGUGUUUCUUUAGUAAUAACAAAUCUGGAACAAUAUUCACAUGGUUUUGCAUGAUCUCGAUAUGCACAGAAUUGAACAAAUACGAAGAUGGGUUACUUGAUCGACCUUUACUCUUUAGUCUCUUACCUCGUUUAAGGUUCUCUAUCUAUUUUGUCUCUUCCUCUUCGUUUGUGUAUUCUGCUCCUCUGGGUUUCGUCUUCUGUAGCAAUUUGGAUUACGCAUUUCGAUCUCGUGUUUGGAUUCAGUGUUAAUGCGACUCUAAUAGGGAUUUGCAUGUCCCAUUAGUUACUGUUAAUGCAUUUGUGCAUAUUACAGGCGUGACAUUUUUAGGUUAACAGCUCAGGACUAGACUAUAACUUCCUUUUUCUUUUUUCUGAUUAUGCUUAUAUAUCGAUCAUUUUGUGGAUUUCUUCAUCGCCCUGCUGCUUGAUCAUUUCUGUUUUUGUCGGGACGUUUUUAGUUCAGCUAUUAGUUUGUGCUCUACUUCAAUCAGAAUCUCACUAGCUCCUUGGAACCCGAUGAACAGGUUUUAGGUCUAUCUUGUGUUCAUGGUUUUUCCUUGAUCUUUUAUGUUUUUCUUUUGUUGGAAGUAUUCUUGAUCUUUUAUGCUUUUUGCUGUUAGAAUGGCAUUGGAUGAGACCUAAAACAGCAUUAUUACGGGCUGAGUGGUUUGUGUGAGGAGAAAGGAUCGUGGAGAAUAUAGAUUUACAAAAAUUACAUGAUCAGCUGAAAAUUGUGAUACUGACAGGUGCGUAAAAUAGUUGAUUGAUUAGCUGGGAUUUUUAUCAUGGAACGAAAAUUUUUCAUGGUAGCUAUGAUGGCAAUUCGUGCUUGCAAGGCUUCCCUUGCCUUCUUGGGUGAACAAGCAGUGGAUCUUGCAAUUCGGUUGAUACCCUUUUACCUCGAGUGCUGGUACAUGACUUUCCAUCUCCUACUCUGUUGUGUAUUUACAUUAUUUUUCUGCACCCCCUCCUACCUAGUAGCUGAAUGCUGAGAUCCUUGCACUAAAGUGGUCUGAGUGUUGUGAUCAGCUAGUAGUAGCCUGUUAAGAGAAUGAGGCUUUAUCGGAUAAUGGUAGUCAUGUUCGUAGGCUCGAACGUCAAAAUCAAUUAUGCUUAAUACUUUAGACCGGAGGAUUUUAUAGAAGAAAGAGGCCCGAUGAGACAUCUUAUAAACCAAAAUUUCACUUGGUCCUUUGUUAAGUGAGACUAGUAGUGUUCGGGUUGAAGUUGAAUUUAGAGCAGUUUGAAUUCUUCUUUUGAAGUUUUUACCACCUUUUGCUCAGCUUAUGAACAAAGAAGCUGUGUUUGAUUCCGUGAAAAGGAGCAUUUACUUUUAAUACUUUUCCAAUCCCAUUGGAUUAAAAUGAGAAAUGAAGAUCUGAAAUUCUCCCUUGCAGAUUCUAUGUAGAUCCUCAUUCUUCCUUGUUAAGUGUUUGUGAGAUUGGAUGCAGCCAUGAAUUGAGUUGGGAACUCCAGACAAUUGUUCUUCUCGUAAAGGACAUUUGUGUUGUUUAGACAAGGAUGAAACCUGGAACUAAUCUGUGUGGACUUGCACCUCCAACAAGCAAGACUGAUAGAUUUCCGAAAUUUUAGCAGAUUAUAACCAAAAAAAUUAGAGACUGGCCCCAGUUUUUAUUCUUUUUAAUUAUUUCCAUUACUAUUAUUAUUGUAUAGAUUUUCCACGUUCUGGGUUGUCAUCUACUUUCUGCCAUAAAAAGUGGAGACAAUUGACCUGGCGAGGUUGAUCUGUUGCUUUCUUUUCUAUUAAUUAAUUAAUUAAUUAAUUAACCAACUAAUCAAUCAAUUAAUAUUUUUAUUUACAAUUUUACCCUUAUGAAGUAACUACUAAUAUCUAACAUCUAAAAUUUUCAUAUUCAAUUACUCGUGACAUGUAUAUUAGGAGGGAAAAAGGUGGCAAAAGUGAUUUUGGACUUUCUUAAAAGCAAUAUGUAUAUAUAUGUGUGUGUAUAUGUAUGUAUAUAUGGUUGUAAUCAUUUGAGAAUUGUGGGUGCUGAGAUGGAAGGAUGAUGAUUCAAAUAUAAUUGACGUAAUGUUAAAGAUUGAUUAUGGGUUUGUUGCUUCCAGUUCAUUUCUUAAUAGGAAAAAGGAAUUUAAUACAAACACUAAGAAUUUUAACAUAAAGUUUGAGAAAUAGUCAAAUUGUAUGAAGUUACAUUCGUGUGUGUGGGUGUGUCGGAUAGGUCACCACUGACCACCGCAGUCAAACCUUCACAAGCUGCCAAUGUCAAUGUCUCACUGCCUUACCAAAAUGCAUGUGACUUCUUUUAUUAUUAUUAUUAUUAUUAUUGUUAUAUGGGUGAUAAAUAAAAGUCUUGGAACCAUUCAUGUGCAUUUGAAGACACCUUUUUUUAAAAAAAAAAAAAAAAAAAAAUUGUCUUUUGGAAGAUCUAAGACCUAAGAUUCAUCACACACCUUAAUCCAUGUUAGGUUUUUAUUAUUAUUAUUUAAAAUAUAAUGAUUUUAGUCGUAACUUAUAGUAAUAUAUAUAUAUAUAUAUAUUUAUGAAAUAUUACGUGAGUUAUUAAUGAAAUAAAUUAAAGUGAAAUGAGAAAUCAAAUCAAUUUGGUGAGAUGGAAUGAUUGAUGGUGGAACACCCAAAAUGGAAAGAGAGAGAAAAUAAAAAGCAAAAGCCAAAGGGCAUGCACUAAUUAAUAUCGCCCCCCACCCACAAAAGUAACCCAAGUGCUUUCACCCUAAUUAAUAUCUUAUAUUAUAUUGUAUUAAUAUUAUGUAACAAAAUAUUUUACAAUCAUUAAUAUGUUGUUUAAAUGGUUAACUUAUCAUUCUAUAAUUGUACUAUGAAUUAUUAAUGAUCGAUGUAUAAUAUGCAAUAAUAUAUUAUUCAACGAAAUAAAAUAUUUAAUUUAUUAGUGCAUAAGUGAACUUAUUAUAAUAAAAUUUAGAUCAAUUCUAAUAAAUCAUAACAUAUUCAAGUAAAAAAUAAUAUUCGCGAUUAGAUUUUCGUUGUUGUUGCGUUAAACAUAAUAUAGUGAAAACUCAAAUUUAAUUAUUGAGAGAUAAAAAAAAAAACAAAGUAUUUUAUGAAAGUUAAAGAAUGAUAUCUAUCCACCCGAGUUCAACUUUUAAGUUAACGAACAAUAAACUCUUAGUUUUUUUUAUACUUCCUUAACAUAUCUUCUACGUUAUCAAAAAAUAUAAAAAAAAAUAUAUUUAUAGUACUUACACCUCUUUAUUCACGUUUGACCCACCUUAGCUUGUAGCUAUAGAUGUUACCCAUUUAUAAUCCUUUAAUGUGAUAUGGAGAGACUUCAAUUUCACUUAUACUCAAGAUAGAGUAGGGUCAUAACUAUAUAUUUCAAUGUACACAUAUCUUAUAUUUUUAUAAUAACUUAAUUUGUUAUCAUCUUAAAUAGAAUUAGUUCAUGCUUUAUUUAGUUUUAAUAUAUUUAAAUUCGACUAAUCUUAAUUGUACAUAAUUUAUUAAGAGGUCACCCGUUUUAAUACUAUUCUUGCUUAAAUACGUUUUUAACUGCGAAGUUCUGAUGGAAUAAAAUGCAUUAAAAGCUGUUAUAAUUGCACCAAACUAAUCUUAAUUAAUUAUUAUAAACAGCCAUUGUAUGUGGAUUAAAGUAAAAGGCCAAGAAAUUUUGAAAAAUAAAUUUCACAUGCAUUUGUAGUGCGUCAAGCCAAAACCGAAAAAAAUAUACAAUCACUUCGCUCCAUGUGGGAGACAGACACGCACAGUUCAUAUAGUAAAGGUUCGAACCCGGACCCCACCACCGACACUCUACUCUUUCGUCCCAAAAAAAAACAAAAAGAAAUUUUCCCUCUUCUUUUUGAUUCUGCUUGCGGCUUGGAAAUUUACACAGGGAUCACAUCUCUCUCUGUACACCACUUAAAUGUCGGCCAUACCCUUCAUCAUUUUACUAGAUCUCCCUUCUUCCCCUUUUUAAAACCUACUGAUCUCUUCGACUUCUUUUUAAUUCUCUCUCUCUCUUUUCACUAAUUGGUUUGAAAAUGCCGCUAAACUCGGCGGUGGUGUGCGCUUUUCUUUCCCUUCUCGCCAUUGCUGCGGCUGAAGAUCCCUACAGAUUCUUCUCCUGGAAUGUUACUUACGGAGACAUAUGGCCACUUGGUGUUCGCCAACAGGUUUGCCGAAAUUUCUCGUUCGACUUUUCCUAACUCCUCUUCCGCUGGUAUCUGAUUUAAUCUGAUUCAAAUCGUGUUUCAGGGUAUACUCAUCAAUGGUCAAUUUCCAGGCCCAGACAUCCACUCUGUUACCAAUGAUAAUCUCAUCAUCAACGUAUUUAACAGUCUCGACGAGCCUUUUCUCCUUUCCUGGUAUCAUCCCUCCCUCCCUUUAUUAUUCCACUCAUCUUAGCCCAUUUUUAAUUCAUAAAUUGUGGGAGAUCUGUUCAACUAUGCAUUAUUCACGUCGAUGAACGAACAUAGAUUGGUGUUCAUAUAUUUUUAGGAUUUUGUAUAAGAUCGUUGUUUCGUCAUAUCAAGAGAAUAUCGUAUGCAGUUUCUAGAUAAUAAUCUGAAAACCAAGCUUACACCAAAGAUACAGUAGAUGAUCAAAUUAGCAUAUUCAAAAACAGAGAAAACGAAAACUGCAGUUACCAUUUACUAAUAUUAGUAGUACAGUUCGCGUGGCAAAAUACGUCAACGACUAGCUUUCCCUCUUUACGCCACAGAAGAUUAUGCGCAGUGAUUAGCUCGCCUCGAUUGAAAAGACAAAUAUACCCUCAUGAGUCAAUUGUCGUUUUGCUUUCUGGUGAAGGGACAUAUUUGGAAUUUGGACAUGGAAAUAAUUAUGUAAAGGCAGGACAGGGCAGGGCAAGCUCAUCUUACUUUACACGCCAAGCAUGUGAAUAAAUUUGAUCAUUGGAGAGAAUGUCACUUGUCAUACCCUCGUCAUUUUCAAUUUCUCUUUCCUCUUUCCUGUUUUUUUUCUGUAAAAAAUUCUCUGUUAACAUGUGAACCUUUAGUGAGAGGAGACCCCCCAUGUGCUUAUUACCAGAAGACGUGGAAGAAUAGAUCGGAAAUCUGUCGUCGUCGUUUCAUUUAUUCUAAUGGUGCCGUUCUACACGUUUGAUUCGCUGGAUAGGGUUAGUUAAAUCAUGAGAUGAUAACUAUACAAUAGACUAGUUGGUAUGGUAGUAGUUGGCAUACUGUAAGUAGGAAGUGAUUCAUCUAAUCAAUCAGUACAACAAUUAACGAUUUUUGCAUUUUCUUUUGAAGAAGAAGUUCGCAUUAAUUGGAGUGUCUAGUGUCUGGCAAGCUACGUAAUCUUAAACCUACUUGACAUGUGGAUGGGGUCCCUUCACUUUUCCAAUUAGCUGUCUUCCACUCCAAUGGCGCAUGUGCCAAAAUACGUAUGAAGGUGAUAGGAUUCUAUCAACCCAGCAGUUCGUGCGCCCAUGAAUCAAUCAUACUUUUACUAAAUUUAUAGUUACUAGUUAAAUUAAUGGAUAUACAAAGAGAAUUUGAAGGUUCGGCAUUUUAUGUCCCUAUAGAUGAAAAUUACUUUUUAUAUUUUUGACACUUUUAAGUUAUUCGAUUUACUUCUUGUUGAUCUCUUUGUGGUAAUUUAUUGUUAGGAGUGGGAUUCAGAACAGAAGGAAUUCAUAUGAAGAUGGAGUGUACGGAACGACGUGUCCAAUUCCGCCGGGGAAGAACUUCACUUAUAUUCUCCAAGUGAAGGAUCAAAUAGGAAGUUUCUUCUACUUCCCGUCUCUUGCAUUCCACAAAGCUGCUGGUGGUUUUGGAGGGAUUAGGAUCCUGAGCAGACCGCGUAUCCCUGUUCCCUUUCCGGACCCAUCUGGCGACUGGACAGUUUUGAUUGGGGACUGGUACAAGUCCAAUCACACGGUAACCUCAACGAUUUUUGCUUCUCGCACAUUUAUUCAUCUUUUUCAUGUUCUCGCUUUCUAAUUUCUUUAGCUUCUCGCUGCCAUUCAAACUGGUUUGAAAACUGAAAAGUUGGGUUGUCCUUGUCCUGAUAUAUUGUCGUCUAUAAACUUUAUUUCUCCUCAUAUUAGUUAAUUGUUGUAAGCAAGCAACCUGCAACCAGGCCCUUCUUCUGUAAAUUUGGCUAUUUUAUGCCAUUGAAUCUCGGGCUCUGGCAAUGGACAGCUGGGUUGUCCUGAUAUAUCACUCUCUUUAGCCAACAGUUCAUGAUACCAUAGCCUACCAGCUGGGUCGAUAGUUUUCCGUGUCCUUUUGUCUUCUCGUAAUGCAUUUGGGUUUCUUUUUUCUUUACUGAAAUGCACGACUGCAUUGGACAGUGGCGAGUGCCGCCAAGAAAUGUCACUAGAUAGAUUCUUGGUACGGGUGCCUGGUGAUAAAAUAUGCACAGCCACCUACACUGUUAUGCUUAUAUACGAUUUCUUUUUGCCAAAUACUGGCCCAAAUCUGUUGUCAUAGGUUCGUGCUCAAGCAUUUUUUUCCCAUAAGACUACAUAUCUGGGCCUAUAUGUCUAACCCAGUGAGUAGGAAACAGUGGAUCCCACUGUUCAAAAAGGCCGAAGGUAGUGUUCUGUUGACAGUGAACCCAUCAAUUCAUGUGCAAUGCGUAUGGCGCCCCUUCCCCCCUUAAGUCUCUUAAACAGGCAUGUGCAUUCAAUUUUCCUUGACCCAUACAAACACACUUGUACCCACCCAUAUCCGGCACCUGUUUGUUCAUUAAAAAAGUUCAUCAAUUGUCUAGUUGGAAAAAUUAACUAAAUGAUAAUUUCUUUCGGACCUUGUGCGUGACCCAUCAAGAAAAAAAUAUAGAGAAAAGAAAUAUGUUGAUGCUUAAUUAGUUGUGGGCCACAUUACUGAUAGCAUGAAAUAAUUUGUUUGUGCAGGAUUUGAAGGCUCAUCUUGACAGUGGUAAGAAGCUGCCUUUCCCAGAUGCAAUCCUUAUCAACGGUCGCGGUAGUGGUGCUGCUUUCACUGUUGAACAAGGUGCGUGAUUGUCGGCAAUCUACUUCUAACAUUAUCUGCUAUUAUAUGACCGCUCUAAAAAGAAUUAGCACGUUUCUCAUUUAUAUUACAGUUGUACUUAGCUAGAAGAUAAUAUUUCUCUGAAGUAUAAUGUGAUCAAAUAGUUGUUUCCAGUUCUUUCAAUGCGUGUUUGCACGACAAUCUCUUCUGAUUAUCUACUUCUGGUACAGGGAAAACUUACAGGUUUAGAGUAUCAAAUGUUGGGUUGCAAAACUCACUCAACUUCCGCAUUCAAAACCACAAACUGAAAUUGGUAGAAGUGGAGGGGACACACACACUCCAAACUACCUACUCUUCAUUUGAUCUUCAUGUUGGUCAAUCUGCCUCAUUUCUAUUAACAGCUGACCAGCCUGCACAAGACUACUAUAUUGUGGUCUCCAGUCGAUUUACCGACACAAUCCUCACAACUACAGGCACUCUUCAUUAUAGUAACUCUGCCGGCGCAGUCUCCGGUCCAAUCCCAGGUGGACCUACCAUUCAAAUUGAUUGGUCUCUGAACCAGGCCCGCUCUAUUAGGUACAUAUAUAUCAUCGUUGAUCAGACGGAGAUUGGUGUACAGGAAAUAACUAAGAAUUCGUACUUAAAUAUUUUUUGUGUUAUUUCAGGACCAACCUCACAGCUAGUGGACCAAGACCGAACCCCCAGGGUUCUUACCAUUAUGGUCUCAUAAACACAACCCGGACAAUCAAGUUGGCCAGCUCUGCUGGACAAAUCAAUGGCAAGCAAAGAUAUGCAAUUAACAGUGUGUCCUUUAUCCCAGCAGACACUCCGCUAAAACUUGCUGACUUCUUCCAGAUUAGUGGCGUUUACCGGGUUGGAAGCAUCUCUGACCACCCAACAGGCGGAGGAAUGUAUUUGGACACCUCAGUUAUGCAGGCUGACUAUAGAGCUUUUAUAGAAAUUGUUUUCCAGAACGACGAGGACAUCGUUCAAAGCUAUCACCUCGAUGGCUACUCCUUCUUCGUUGUCGGGUAAGCGCACGAGUAAUACUAUGAAUCCUUACUCAAAGAAUUGAGUUUGUGAUUGAAACCUGAGUAAUUUUGAAAUGUAGUAUGGAUGGUGGGCAAUGGACACCUGAUAGUAGGAACGGGUACAAUCUCCGCGAUGCAGUUUCGCGAUGCACGACUCAGGUGAGACCCAAAUAAUCCCUUACGGCUAAAUCAAUAGAGCUUCGUGCUAUCUUGACUACAAGACAAAAUUAAGGGAAUUGUUAAUGCUUAACAAAUGUUGGUGCAGGUAUAUCCCAAGUCAUGGACUGCUAUUUACGUGGCGCUGGAUAAUGUAGGAAUGUGGAACUUAAGGUCUGAGUUUUGGGCCAGACAAUACCUCGGACAACAAUUCUAUUUGCGUGUUUAUACAACAUCAACUUCUCUAAGGGAUGAGUACCCCAUUCCAAAGAAUGCUCUUCUAUGUGGUAGGGCAAGCGGGCGACGCACACGACCCCUGUGACCUAUAAUAGAUGUGUAAGAGGUCCCCCCUUUAAGCCUGGUUCGACGAAGAGAGGAGAAGAGAAGGGCAGUGGAGAAGAGGGUUUUUCUUUGGGGAUUCUAAUAUCAAAUUCCUAUACGUAUAUGAGGUGAAUGACCUCAGCUCGAGGUCACAUUCUUUUUCUCUGGAAGAUUGUAUUCUUAAUUAUUGGUAUUGUUUAAGUAAAACAUAGCCCUGUGAUAAUUAUCUCAAGUGAUGUUACUGGGAGGUUUGGUGGGCUCAUAAUCUUUUGAUCCCAUGAACGGUUUGAAGUUUCUACCAAGACCUUGCAUUUUCAACUUGUCGUGCAUUUGCAUUACAUGAAUAAUAGUCAAAUUUUGGUGAGGUUAAAAAUGGUUAGCGAAUAGUUUUAAUUGAAAUUUCUAAAUUCAUGUCAAUUACGAUGCAACUCGGUGGUUGAUCUUAUGAUUGUUUUUAUUCAAUUAUGUGAAUUUUACUAGUUUGUUUCAAAGGUUUAAAAAAAAGAAUUAUAAAAUUUAUAUAAAAUUAUGAUAUAUAUAUAUAUGUUUUAUCAUUAUAUUAUAUUGCUACAUGAAAACGUGACUGAAACGAAGAGAGCCGUACAAUAAAAAAAUAAAAAAUAUUAAAUUAUAAAAAAAAUAUCGUAAUUGUGUAUUUUUAUAUUUAAGUAAUCUUAUUUUUAAAAAUAAACAAAUACAAAAUAUUAUUAAAUGCAAAAUUUUUAUAGUAUUUUCUAUCCGAUAGUAAAUUUAUUUAAUCUUAAAUAUUAUUUAUUAUUAUUAUUAUUGGUUGUACUAAUGGAGCUUAUAAUGUUUGGAGAAUUCGGGAGACUUCGUAUUGGAUAGUUCUUAAAAAAUUAUCUAAUAAAUAAAUAGUGAUAGUUUAAUAUUGAUUUUCAUUUUUCAUUUUUUUUUUUUUUGUGUGCGUGCGUGCGCGUGUGUAUUUAUGGCCCACAUAACUGCUUCCGAUCACAGCCGUCCAUCUUGAUUGUCCGGGAUGAUGUCCUUUUGUCUACGAAAGUCGCACUAUCUUGAGCGUAGAAUCCAUCAACGGUAAUAAGCACUACUACCCUACACCGUAUCACGGGAACAUACUUGCAAACAGCACCAUAUUACUCGUUCUCUUUUUAAAGAGCGACGCUGCAACAAGGUUUCGGCGGGAUCCAGGUCUGGACAUCUCUUCAUAGAUCGUCUCUCUCUCUCUCUCUCUCUUAAUAUCAGGUAUUAGCCUAGUGUCAUUUGCCUUACUUUAGGUUCCUAAAAGUUAGGGUUUUUAGUCCUUUUUCAGUUUCUAUUGGUUGUUUAGGUUAUACUGAUCGUCUCUCUCUCGAUAUUGUUUGUGCCGAGAGCGUUUAGGGUUUCUCUCUCUCUCUCUCUCUUCUUUUUUCUUGUAUGGAAUUGAUAUUUAAUUGGUUAUCUUGUAUUAAAUGCAUUUCCGUGAUUGGUUAUUUUGUUUUAGAGUUGCAUCUGAGCAUUCAGGUUCCAGUUACCCUUCCAGAC
rnacentral:lncRNA from 1 species